UUCUUUUUUUCUCUCUCCUCAUCGUCAGUGCCAGAGUGGUACAUAUGCUAUGCUUGCCCUCCUGACUGCAGACAGGCAGGCAGCCAAACAUUGGAUCGAUCAAUGGGAGAUUAAUUAGUACUAAACUACUGCAAUUAAUCUACAUGGCAUCUUAAGGAAGGACAAACUCGAUCGAUCGAUCCAAAGAUUUAGAUCGUGUUCCUGUUUAGCUACGGAUGAAAGAUGAAAUAUUAUCUGAUGAUAGCUAUUUAAUGAUGUAAAUAACGUAAUUAGCUAUUGUCUUCAUUUUUAUUUAUAUGAUGUUGGUUAGUCAAUUAACCAACGUCAAACAUUCCAGAAUGGAGGGAGUACUACAAAUUUAAAAAUCCACUUUAGAAAGAUGAGAUGAUAAACUACAAUAUAUAUAUAUAUAUAUAUAUAUUAAAACAACCAAAGUUUAAUAAUUAGAGAAACGUGCUAAUAAAAAUUGAGGAAAAAAAAUAGAGAAACACGUAUCAAAACACAUCUAGGAAAGAUAUAUAGAGCUCAUGCAGAGGCAACAACUGCCUUAUUUCCCUAGCUAGCUGGUUGUGCUAAUUAAGAUAUACUACGUCAGUUUCACAAUGUCAUACUUAUUAUUUUUAAUAUAUGCGCUAACGAGUCUAGAUAGAGCAAUAUAUCUUAAUCAAUAGAUAAAUGUAGAUAUAACUAUACCUACGAAAUGGAUCGGGGGAUUAUAUGAUCUUAAUUUCGAAGGGGAUAAACUACUAAUUGCUGGUCAAAUCCAGCUCCAAAUUAGAUUAAUUAUGUGCACUUUCUCGGGCUGAUUUGCUCCGACAUACGCAUGAAAGAGACCGAAUAACUAACUAAUUAACGUCUUGUCUGAACAAGCGUAUUAGGCUAUUCCCAGUAGCAAAUUUCAUUUGUUGUUUCCAAGAUGCCACGUUAGCUCCCUUCCAAUGGACAGAUUCAAUUUUUUUCGGUUAGGCGAACUUGCAUUUAAUUUUUCAUAUGAGCUAUAUAUGGUUGGAUUGGAGAGGGAUAACUUAAAAUGGAUCUAGCUAUGCUCCAACGUUGGUUUCAGUCGGUUUUAAAGUGUUAAAAACGGUCCAUUACCGGUUUCAUCCGAAUGAAACUAAUUUCACAUAUCCUUUCAAUAAAUCUCAUGUCAUGCAUGUCAUCAGUUUAACUGAUAUGUCAUCUUAUUUUAUCGAACAUGAAACCAACAUUGUGAGUGGCCUUGGAACAUAAGUCCACGGGGUUAGCCAUCAAAUUAGGAAACAUAUAUUAAGCUGACAAACUUGCCGGUAGCUCUUUUCACUGAGUGACUACAUGUCAUAGUGCCACCCUUAAUUAACUGGUAAUUAAUUAGGACCACACACCGACACGGCUGCGAUAAUUGUCGGUUAAUUUGACCACACGUACGUACAAGUGCAUGAUGUCCACUGUCUAGGUAUAAACUCAUGCUCCCGAUCGACGCCUGGUCAACACGUAUGGUCGCCAUCCACCAUCGGCAAUGAUCUUAAAAGCCUCUUAAGUAAUCAAUCUAACACUACAAAAGUAACCUAUCUAACCUUUGUUAGUACUUAUUAUUUUAUGUCUGUUUCAGGUUAGAAGAUGUUUUAAGUUUUACUGUAUUAAUUUAUAUAAGUACUAAUGGGUUUGAUAUAUAUAUAUAAAAUAUAUAUUGGUUUAUAAAUAUACAUAAAAAAAAGCAAAAUAUCUUAUAACCUGGAAUAGAGGGAGCGGAGUCUAUGUCCCAUGUGUUUGAGGUGCACCUUCCUGAUCUAAUACUAUAAUCCGGCCACUAAUAGCUAUCUUAAGACAAACAUUAAUUGCUACAAGAUAGUCAAGAUAUUUACCUUUUUUUUGAUACAAAGAUAGAGAUACCUCUCUGAUAAAAUGAGGUAUUCAAUGAUAACUGAAGGUACUUUUUGUAUAUACAUAAUAGUUCUAUUACACCUCAAGAUUGAUGUCUAACACUUCAUCCAUGAUGUCUAAAGGAACUGUGAUACCUGUUCCUUGCAGUACAUCAAGUAACUACGAUACUUGGAUGAUAUCUGCAAUACUUAGUUCCUCAAUAAAGUCAUUAUAGCUGCUUUUAUUGCUUACCUCCUAUUAGACUAGUCUCAAUGCAUAGUUUCAUGGCAUAGUUAUCAAGACUGUAAACUAGGUAAUCAAGCCAGAUGAGUUUCAUGGGGAUUAAACUUCUCUCUCAUCUCAUGAAACUCCCUCAUUUAAUGACCCUUCUAAGUCAGCAAUUUUGCUGAUGGACACUCUAUUUAAUGUGUAUGACAUCCUAUGAAACAUGCAUUGAGACUUGCCUUAGGCCAUGGGUGGGGAGUGGGGAAGAUAAAUGAUCAUCGUGUCAACAUUGACAUCAUAUUCGAUGUGUUAAGGGAAAAGAUAGACUGUCGGGUAAAGGUGAUGAAGAUGAUGUAAACUAGAUUGGGUUGGUAGUAAAUUUGAUUUUGUGAGAGGUCUGAACUAGUGGCGUAUUUUAUUAGUGUUUAUUGAUGUUUUGAGAAGGGAUUUUUAGGAAACCUUCCUUGGGGGUGAAAUGGUUCAAGCCCUUAGUUUUCAUUCGUGUCCGCAAACUAGACAAGAUCAACCUUUGUUAUUUCCAAUUCACAUAAUCUUGAGAUAUCUACAUACAUAAUCUUGUAGGUCCUUUUCAGGGUAACUUAUUGGCUGCGGUUCUGAACACACCUACAAAAGUACGAAGAAAACAAGGAAACUAUUAUAUUUUUUGCUGUUUGCUGGAAGUUGGAGACUUUGGCUAUGUAAGUUUUAGGCACUUUGGUUGGAAAUUCAGCAUUAGAAUUGAAUAAAGCUGGUCUUUUAUAGUGCCUACUGUUUUCUCUUGUUUUUAUCUUAUGUUUAAGCCCAUUAAAUUUUCUGGUGUGUCAAACUAUAAACUAUAUAAUAAUUGGUUGUAACUUCUUUUGAAGUCAAGGCCGAAUUAUCCAUUAUGUAAAAAAAUCUACAUACAUUAUAAUAAUUUGUUCUCAAUCGAUCGAUGGGUCCGUUACUAUAUACUUCAAUGGCCUUCGUGGGCCAGGAACUUAAUUACUACUCCGUACCAUGUUUCUUAAGAAAGAAAAAGGCAAAUGUGUGUGAUUAAGACAAUAUCUAAGGUAACUUUUAGCAACUAUAGCUUGUCACAUAAUAUCUAGCUUCUUCAAGACAAUCCAUAUCCUCACAUGGAAAUUAAACUAAUAUCAGAAGUCGGUAAACCUAUUUUUUCUAUAUUUUUAUCGACUACCUCAUCACGAUGUGCUUUAUCGUGUUAGAAUCGUAAGUUUCCCAAAAACAUGAACGCUCUAUGGCUGGCUGGCUACGAUCAACUACCUAGCUCAAUCGUCACAAGGAAUUUGGCAUCCUUCUAAGCUGAUCGAGUCGCUGGCCGGCAAAACGAUUUGCACCGUCGACGUUGAUCACAAUCAAACAAAUCGUCCACAUCGAUCUUUGACCAAACAAAGAAAGAAAUGUGGUACUGUAUUAAUUUGCUAGCUGCCGGGAAACACGAUCGGAUUAGCAUACGGUAUCAUGGUCAAGUGGCAUCGUGUAUAAUUUAAUUACGGCAAAAACAAAUCAAAUGUCACUCCGAUCCUGCCUUGACUGCAUUUCUACCGACAGGCUCCCAAACCCAAAGUGCAUUCCAACCUGGCUGUGACAGCGGCUUAAUUAAUUAUAUUUUCUUACUACUCCCUCCGUCCAUAAAUGUUGGACGCCGUUGACUUUUUAAUAUAUGUUUGACUCUUCGUCCUAUUCAAAAAAUUUAUAUAAUUAUUAAUUAUUUUUAUAUCAUUGUAUUUAUUGUUAAAUAUACUUUUAUGCACAUAUAUAACUUUACAUAUUUGACAAAAAAAAUUGAAUAAAACGAAGAGUCAAACGUGUAUAAAAAUGUUAACGGCGUCGUACUUAUUAAGGACAGAGGUAGUACUUAUUAAGGACAGAUUAAUUUAAUUAAAUCUUGUUUUGUGUAGUACAUUAGGCUGCAGGUUGGCUCAGACUAUAUGAGCAGUCAAUUUACCUAAGAAAUGUUUCGCUGAAAUUUGUAAUUUUAUUCCAAGGCCCAAAAACUAUGGGCUGCAGAAUGUCAGGAAGGGGCCGCAGCAAAGCCCAUGUUCUUAUGGUAUUUGGUACAUGGGCUCACUUGUUUUCCAUCCUGUUACAGGCCCAUUUGGUACUACAACCCAUUGGGCCUCUGCUGCCACUGAGACCAGGGCCCAUUAAGCUUGAAAAUUACACAACAGGGCCCAUAAAGCUCCCAGCCCCAGGGACUGAAUAAAAAACAGAAGGAAAGGCACAGCACUAAUACAAACCCAUAAAUUAUUAAUUUUAGUAAAUCGCAACCAGGGAGAGGGUAUCAUGUUUUAUUGUUUUUGUUUUGUAUUGGGUUUAACAGGUACUUUCACUUUGACGAGUAUCACUUUGCACUAGGUUGUGUUAUAUUAUUGGAGUAAAAUCUGGUGAAAUAUAAGUGAAUCCUAUGAAACUGUUUAAACUUAGGGUAAGUUUCAUGAAGUUCCAUUCAGAUUGUAAAAUAUUUUAUAAGAUUUCUAUCGAUGGGUUUGAUGAUGUACCCUGAUGAUUAAGUGAAAUUAAGUGAAACUUAUUUAGUACAACUUGGUGUAAAACGAAAUCCUCUACUAAACCCGGUGCGAAGAGUAAUAUACUUGGAAAAUUAUUGCCAUGGAUUAUGUAAUAAAUUAUUGUUAAUCAAAAUGGGCUAGGCCCAAUUAACGUUGAUUAAAAUUUCACUAGUCCACAAUGAAUGGUAGAGACAAUAAUACCACCUUAGAGAUUUAAAGUGGAGAUGCACAACUUAAAUAGAGAGGUUAGUGAGACUCUCUGUUGACUGGUUGAGACAGUAGGAAGACCGUCACGCGCGCGCGCCUUCUUCUUCCCGAGGUGAGAGCGUUCUUCUCCAUAGCUUUUUUUCCUCUCUAGUUCUCCUCGAGUUCUUGUGCCUUCCAUCUGUCUCCCCGGUUCUGUUUCUCUUGCGCGCACGAGAGUUCGGAACGAGCAGGCCUCCGGAACCCCUCAAUUGCGCGUAACGUCGGCAGCGAUAACUACGUGAUUUAACCGCACGGUAAUUCCGUAACGGAAUUGCGGGAUCAAGGGACGCGGUUUCAGGGGUUAGCAUAUUCCUCCUUCUUCUUCCCGAGGUGAGAGCGUUCUUCUCCAUAGCUUUUUUUCCUCUCUAGUUCUCCUCGAGUUCUUGUGCCUUCCAUCUGUCUCCCCGGUUCUGUUUCUCUUGCGCGCACGAGAGUUCGGAACGAGCAGGCCUCCGGAACCCCUCUCGCCAGAGUACCUGCUCGGGUAGACGGGUGCUAAGGUUUUUGGGGAGUGCAUUCGCACGACUGCUCAGUGCGCCAUGUCAACUGACGGGAAUGGAAGCGGUUGCGGUGGUGCUCACACGCUCUCCUCUAUUAUGUUUAAUAUUUUCGAAUGCCUAAUAGCAAUGGUUUCAUUGAUAUAUCAUGAUCAUAUGGAUGCUUGUGCUUAUCGUAUAUUAAACAUGCUGUUAUGUUCUGUUCCUAAUCAUUAGAUUAUUUCUUAUUAUUUUAGAUUAAAAUAACCAAAAUGUGACCAUAUUUCCAACAAUUAUAACCAUUGUGAUUACUUAAAUAUUUUAGAAAAGCUUAACAAAUACUCAUCUUGAUAAAUUUUACCCAUAAAUUAUAUUUCGCUGGUCUAUUCGAUCCUUUUCUGACUUUGAUUGGUUGAACUCCUGGAGUUGUAAAAUGGAUUCUAGCCAUGUUCUUCUUCUCCUGUUACUAACCCAAAUUCUCUCAUUUUUCACGCGCAUACUUCCCGUACUACUAAGCGAUAUGAUUUGUUCGAAAGUUUUAUAUGAGAAAGUUGCUUUAAAAAAUUAUAUUAAGCUAUUCUAUAAUCAUAUACUUAUCUACUAGUACUUUUUCCGUACCAGAUACCUGAUCUCUAUCCGAAGACAGCCUCUUUCUUCUACUUUGUUCCCCACUCUAGGGCAAGUUCUGUGUAGAUUCAUCUAGAACCAACUGCUGCUAGUCCAACAGCAAAAGACCAAAACCUUUUAAAAAAAUAAAAACAAAAAAUUUUAAAAUAAAUAAAUAAAUAAAAAGCACCAAGACCAAGUAAUAAUUUUAUAGUAUACUAGUACAAAUCAUCACUAUUGUGAGCUCCACCACCACUCAAUCCCUCUUCCUCCUCCCCGGCUAGGCCCCGCGUCGAACACCUGCUGUGCGCGCCGCCCAUGUCGUCCCCGUCGGCCGCCGCGCCGGUGCGCUUCGGCAUCAUGGGGUGCGCCUCCAUCGCGCGGAAGCUGGCGCGCGCCAUGCUGCUCGCCCCGGGCGCCGUCGUGGCCGCCGUCNNNNNNNNNNNNNNNNNNNNNNNNNNNNNNNNNNNNNNNNNNNNNNNNNNNNNNNNNNNNNNNNNNNNNNNNNNNNNNNNNNNNNNNNNNNNNNNNNNNNNNNNNNNNNNNNNNNNNNNNNNNNNCGGGCUGCUCCGGCAGGGCGGGGGCGCCGCCCCGCCCCGCCUGCACGGCUCCUACGAGGCCCUCCUCGACGACCCGGGCGUCGACGCCGUCUACCUCCCGCUCCCCACCAGCCUCCACGUCCGCUGGGCCACCGCCGCCGCCGCCAAGGGGAAGCACGUGCUCCUCGAGAAGCCCACCGCGCUGUGCGCCGCCGACCUCGACGCCAUCCUCGCCGCCUGCGAGGCCGCCGGGGUGCAGUUCAUGGACGCCACCAUGUGGAUGCACCACCCGCGCACUGCCAAGAUGCGGGAGCUCGUCGACGACAAGGCCACCACCGGCGACAUAAGAGCGGUGAGCUCUCGGAAACUCAAGUGUUCGGAUUUUAUUACGAUCUGGAAACGCUUACUCAAUGUUGGAAUCAUUAGGGUUUUCUUUAUGAUCUCAAUUAGUGAUAUGCUUAAAUUUCCACAUUUCUUGGACACCCGAAUCUCCAAAGAUAAAUUUGAUGAUGUGAUCAUCUGAGUCAAUGAUAGUAGUGCAUGAUGUUAAAUAAUCGAACCUCAAUCUCAGGAGUGUAAAAAAAAAAACAAAUCUCUCGUUUCCAUAUUACCUUAUAUGCUUGCUUCAAAUUGAAAGCCUUGCUUGUUGGAAUAUGUCUGCGUUUCGCAAAAUCCAAGAUAUUGGGUCAACGCCAUAGUGCGAAGGUAGUGUUCUCAAGAGCAAAAAAAAUUAAAAAUUAAAAAUUGAGGAACAAUACUUUUGCAUAAUGCAUAGAAAAUACAACCUGGAAUGAAUAGGCAGUUCACUGUUUUACUGAAGGACGGUAUGUUUCAAAUUUGCAAGAAUCAACUGUAAGAUGAUAUAAGAUAGUUAGGAUUCCACCAUACCAAAGGCAUAAGUUACAAUACCUUCAUACACCUCUCAAGGAAAAGAAAGAAAUGAUUGAUGAAGGCAUUUGUAAGAUAGAUGCAGCUGUUAUCUGUCUACCACUUGCAGGGCCCAUCCUAACAAUUUUGUUGGACCUUUUCUUGUCACUGCUGGUCUAUGUGGGCUGCUAAUUUCUUGGGUAAGUGCACACUAUACACAUACAUGCACAUGUCUACAUCUCCUGGAAGCCCUACCGCAGGGGCCGGUGCAGUCUGCCCUGCCCUAGGGCCGGCUUUGUCCACUUGACAGAUUCCAGAUUUACCACGUGAAAGCAUAAGGAACUACAAGAUUAAGGUUAGCUGCAGUAUCUAAUAGGAUUCCACAAUAUCAGAUCCAUUAUAUUGCAUGGCUAAAGUAAGUCUACUUUGUUUUCCUAGUUGACCAGCAUGUUAGAAAAUCUGAGCCCUUCGAUUCAAGUCAGAUAGCCCUAUUGUGACCUCUUAAGUUGCAAUCACUCUAAGGACUCACAGGAACCAGAUCCAGAAUCACUACACUUGUUGGUAGUAGUACAUUCACCUUCCUUGAGACAAUGUAUUCUGUUUAAUCUACUGCUUCCUACAUAAAUCCUCAGUCUCUUGUCCUUGUUAAGCUCUAAACAAUUGUUGAUGAAGUUUACACUUCUCCAUGUCUGGAUACUUAUUGACCAUGCUGAAUGAAUAGCGAUAUUUUGUUUGUAGCAAUGGCAACAGAAAAACACCUUGAUGUCCAUUGUCAUCUUGGAAUAGCAGAAUUUGUUCAUAGCUACUAGGAUCACUAUCUUGCCUGAGAAAUUUAUUCUGGUUCUUUCUGUAAACUCCUUGAAGGCCUUUGUCCUGAUCUUCACUAUAUGUUUGUCCAAUAAAAAUAUUGUGGUUUGUCUCUUGGUCUAAUUUCCUACACAUUUUCAUUAUUCUGAACAAAACUAUUCACUCAGUUGACCAUGCGUGCUUUCUUCUUUCUCUAACAGUUCUUCCAAGUUUAGGUAAUUUCACGCAUUAUCCAACUAAUACUUAAGCUGCCAAUAUGAACAGCUUGGCCAUCUAGUGAUUUUUCGUUUCUGGAUAAUUUGCUCACUUACAUCCCAGUGCUACUAUUUUAUGUACGUUGUUCUCAAAAUUUCCUAUAGAAACCAAAAGUCAAGCAGUUUUUCGAAUUUGCAAGAUUUUUAUUGAUAUUUUGCCACUUCAAAUAUUUCUUUACAGUUUCCUCAAAGUCAAGUUUUCCUAACACCAACACUGCAUGAAUUGUGAGCCUCAGAAACUAACAUGAUAAUUGAUAAAUCCCAGAAUAAUUCCCCUUUGAACAAGUUCAUUCACUCAGCAUCUGGUGCACUAACUGUGAACAUAUAUGGUUGCAUUUAUACUUGAUAGUAAAAUUUGUAAUGCCUCAAAGACUCUCCAAUACUUUAGGCUUGGUUGCCUUUUGUCCAAACUUCCUACAGUGUUUAUGGUUUAUUCCUAGAAGGUUUUAUAUUUCAGAAAUCACUUUUAAUAAUUAGUUGCAAUGUUGGGCUAUCAUUCACAAUCUGAUCCAUGGUUUUCUAGUCUUUCAGUACCAAGACCUCACUGACUUUUAUAGGUAUACUAACUCCAUUCCCCUUAUUAGCUGGUAGUAGUGUCUCGCUAAAUUACAUAAGAAAAUUGUACUGUCCUGUUCUAAUCUUCUGCGGAACCAGCACAUUAAAGUAACCCAGGAUAAUGGAAAUGUGUAUCAGUUAAGACUAAAAUUCGUCAGCUUAGUUGUAUUUAUAGUUGAUAAAUUGAAGGUGAAAUGGGUAUGAGCAUGAUCUCCAUGUAGAUUCCAUUUAGUUGUUUGAAAUCUAAUUAUCUUCUACAAAUUAUCUGUAUCAUCAUCAAUCACCAUAUCAAAUAGAUGCAUUUAAGCAUAUCCCCUCCAUAUAUGUAUGUUCUUGUUGUAUACAAAUAAAUGCAGCAAGCAAUUUAAAUACAAACAACGUGUCAAUGCCUAAAAAUAAAUCUGCACAAAAAAUAUUUGAGAAAUAGCUACGGUGAAUUUGUGAUUGCUAGUAGAAGAUAAAGAAGAUAAAGCAAUCUUGAUAACAUUCUUCAGUUUCAGUCUAAAUAUAACAUAUUGACUGAUUGACACUGCUAGAAAUGAUGAACCUGAGUGCUGAGUCUCAAGGUAUAGCUCAGAUCUAAUCUAAUGGAUUGAAGAACGAGAAGACAGUGCAAUUGUUGACAAUUUCUUUGAACAUAUUCUUUAAGACAUUAAAAUUAUGUGGGUCUCCAAACUGUUAAUCUGUUCUGUAAUUGAAGUCAACAUAAACAUAGAUAUAAUUAAUUUAUUGUUUACAGGUACUAAACAUAAUAGCAUUUUAUUGGUUUCAAACCUAGACUGUCAUACUUUCAUGCACCAGUACUUAAAUCUUGCUGUAUGUUGGCAGAUCCAACAAUGCGUGCAGUCAGUCCGAGGAAACAUGAAUAUAAAUAUAUGAAAAAAAUAUAAAUGCUUAUGGAAUGAUCGACUGAUGUUCUCUACAGCUACACUACCACAGAAUGAUUGCCGCCUCGCCCUUUUAUAUACCUCCAUAUAGCUUGCUUCCAGUUGAUGUGCAACAUGUUACAGGUUAACUAAAUAAUUGCUUUUUCCUUCUGCUGCUUCAGAUAAAUAGCUUGUUCAGCUUUCGGGCAAAUGAAGAAUUUCUCCACAAUGAUAUCAGGGUAAAGCCAGACCUUGAUGCCCUUGGUGCACUUGGUGAUGUCGGGUGGUACUGCAUCCGUGGAAUCUUGUGGGCUGUCGACUAUGAGCUUCCCAAGACUGUGAUCGCGAUGCGCGACCCUGUGAGGAACCAAGCUGGUGUGCUCCUUGCCUGUGGUGCGACACUCUACUGGGCUGAUGGCAAGAUCGCCACCUUCAACUGUUCUUUCCUCACCAACCUUACCAUGGACUUGAGCAUUGUUGGAACAAAUGGUACGCUUCAUGUCACUGACUUUGUCAUCCCAUACGAAGAGAAGUCUGCGUCAUUCAGCAUGGCAUCCAAGUCAAAAUUCGCCGAACUCCACACCGGAUGGGAUCCACUGCCCAGCAAGCACGUCGUCCCUACAGACCUGCCACAGGAGGCCCUCAUGGUCCAGGAGUUCUCAAGGUUAGUGCAGAACAUCCGAGACGCAGGUGGCAAACCUGAGGGGAAGUGGCCAUCCAUCACCCGGAAGACUCAGGUUGUGAUGGACGCAGUCAAAACUUCUAUUGACAACGAGUUUGCACCGGUUGAUGUUUCUAGUUGAAUACAGUAACCAGCUGCACUUUCUGAGAUGAUCUCUGUAGUCCAUGGUACUUCUGUAUCUUACAAGAAAAAACUACUUGUUCAAAUGAUUCUAAGAACCGCAGUCAAUUUCAGUACAAUGUUACAAAUGUAUCAAGCAAAAUGUUGUUAUAAAUAAAUGUUGAAACAUGGGAGCUUUGAUUAACCCAUAGAUUGUUGUAUUGUCAAAGCAAAAUCUGGUCUUUUGGCGCCCCACUUGGAUAUAAUAUCCCCAUAGAAAGUUCCUCUGUUCCUAAUGAGGUUUAGAGUUCAAGAUUUUAGUUGAGUUUCUCUUUUCCUUUUGGCUGGAUAAUUCUCAGGACAGUCACAUUACAAGUUUCCAUCCAAGCUCAAAUAAGUUUAUUUUUGAGUUUUGUGCUGGAAACUUGUACAGUAAAGUGACUGAGAAGUUGGAGACAUAUGGCCAAGUUGGAGAAAACAUGUCCAAGGCUUCAACAUCACCACCUUUGUCUUCUGAGCAUGUCAUGCUUCCUGCACACUUGCCAGUGCUGAAUCCCUGAAACGACAGUGAAUGACACAUGCUUCAACUACUGCCGCAAUGUGACUGAAAUACUUAAAACGAAAGCUGCUUUCUGACGGUGCCGACUACUGAUCGACUUGUUGUUUUCCUGUGCUCCCUUUCUUCUACAUUAUACACAAUUUACGGCUCAAAUUACAAUACUAUUUGUUUAAUUAUAUUCCAUUAAUCAUUUUCAAUUUAGAUUUCUUCGCAUCUUAUACUCGUCUGCACUCUACCUGCACUCUUGCAUUCAUUUAUUUCACCUAUAUUGAAGGGCAUAAAAGCUAUUUCUUUUAACCUAGUCUCUAUUAAUAUAUAAGGGAUUUGCUCUGGUCUAACAAAAAUACCUCGAGAUAUCAAAUCAUUUCUUAUUAUUGGAUCUAGCUGAGUAGCAUGUGCACGGUUAGAUUCAACGAUCAGAAACGAUUUGGUACCAUGAGGUACCGGUAACUCAAGUUACUUUUCGUUAGACCGUAAAAUUGUUCAAUCUAUAAACGUUUAUAUAUUGGAACAGUAGGAGUAAGUUGUUGUUGAUGGCUGCCUGUCGAGAGUACUGUACGAUAGCUCAGCUGUUAAGACUUAUAAGUGCUCAUGGUGUCAGAGGUUAAUUGCACGGUCUGAUCUGUUACAGGCGAGGCAUGCAUGGGAUUCUCUGAUCAGGGAUUAUUAACAGCUGGUUAUUAUCCGCCGACGAUCAGCUCACAUUGGUUUCUGAAACGUGAUUUGAUGACCUGCAGGUUGCAGCUAGCUGCCGACCGGUCAGGUUUUAUCGAUGCCCGUGAUCACCGAUCGAGUGGUUAGCGCAGCUGAAAAUUUGGGAAAAUUCAGACAAGUUUUUAGGAGGAAUUUUCAUUCUAGUUUGAGUUUUUUUUUUAACUUGGCCAGUUUAACACAGUCCGGAUCAAUAAGUUCGAUGACCAUUAUAAGUUUAUAACUGUUAUGAGAACAAACUCUCUAUGUUAAUUUGCUUAAUCACUUUUAUGCCCUUGAAUUUUGUCUCACUUUUUAUAUAUCUCUGAUUUUUUUAUUUUGUUCUACACUGCCCGUAUCCAUUCCAUUAGUUGAUUUGUUUUUUUUCAAAAUGGCUAUAUUUUCCCUUUCUCAUAUUUAAGUGCUAGCUUAAUGAUGGGAAUACAAUUAUCAGGUGAAAAAUAUUCAUUUGUAAGACAACAAUGGAGAUAAAUUAUUUAACCACAAUUUCGAAAAAUUAUUCUAAAGUUUUUAAAUACAUUUCAAAUCAACUUUGCAAAAUUCCUACCACACAUUUUUACUCAAAAUUUAAACACAAUAAAUAAAUAAUUUUGGUUCUGAAUUUCUAGAUGAAUCUCUUUUAUGGAUUUAAUAAGAAAAAUAAAAUUCGCUAACAAUAUUUUAUUUUUAAAUUUGAUUUAUUAUGGAUUAAUAACUUUCACACUGAGCGCAUAAGUAUGAGAAAGAUAAUUAGUCAUUUUAGAACAGCAAUUAACAGUUAACUAACGAAAUAGGUGUAAAGGAGAUCAAAAUGAAAACUUAUAUAUAUGGUCAUAUAGUAGAUGAAGUAAAAUCCAAAAGCACAUAAGGGAUUGAAAAUAUUUCUAGAUGUACAUAGGUUAUGUUUUUUCUCAUUGUGAGACCGUGGUUUCUCAUAAGACUGUGCUCCGGGCUUUAAUUUUGAUGGAUUAAGAUAGCUGAACGCAGCUCUCCAGAGAUUAGAAAUCUGACAUCAUUAUAAAUAUAUUGCCGUUUAUUUUACGCGAGCAAACGUCCGGACACGUAUUUUCGUUUUUUUUAACGGAACUUGCUAGCAAUUUAUUCAGCAAAAUAGAUCUGAUUACAAUCUUUAGCUAGCACCGAACUCUGAUGAAACAGAGAAACAGGUCAUAAAGCAUUCACUAGCACAUAUCAUAAGUAUUUGCUACUCUAUCUCAAAAUGUAAUCAUCUCUAGGUUAUUUAAAUAGAAGUACUAAUGUUAAAAAAAACUAUGUUGCCCCUAAAUAAGUGAGGAAUAGACAGUGACAGACGCAGCUUUAAAAUAUUUUAAAGGUGGGAGUGAGAUGUUCAAUUAAUACUACUGGAUGCAACACAUAUAUACCAUAUCAUAUUUAUAUUGGAUUCAAAAAAUAAAGUACAAUAAAUAAAUUUAUACAAAAAUAUACAAGACGGUAAAUCUCAUUUAAAAAUAAAGCAACAAACUUUGCACCACAUAUAAUUCAUUACAUAUCAAAAGAUAAUGGUAAAUCAGUCAACUUAAAAUAUUAGUUAAUUUAUAAAACAUGAGUAAUAGUUAACUAAUGAAUAUCAAUAAAAUUUUGGGUUAGUAUAAAAGAAGACAUACCACUCAUAAAUUACUAAACAAGUAUAGGUCCUCUACAAGAAGUAUGUAUCUAGGUUCUAUAGGAGACUUGGAAAAAUCUAUUCUCCGAGCAUUGAAACCUCUUAUUAACUUUAUCAAAAUAAAGUUUUCUAAAAAUCUUAUUCUCAACUUGGUGCAAUAAGUCAAUGAAUUAUCAUUUAUCCCAUUGUACAAAUCGAUUUUUUGUUAUAAUCUAGCCGAGAAGACUCGUUCAAUAUUUGUUAUAACCUAUAAAAGAAUUACUAUCUAAAUAAAAUGAUGUAUAAACAUAAAAGCAAGAUAAAUUUUUGUUUCAAUCAUUUUUAAGGUCAGAUUACUACAAUCUUUGAAAUUAUCAAUAGGAGAAGGGGUAAGUGUAUGGACCCAGGCCGCGUUCGGUAUGCAUACAUAAGUUAACUUAUGCCCUGACACGGAAAACGUAGUAAUAAAUUAGUACAUGAUUAAAUAAUUAUUAAUUAUUAAAAAAUAUAAAAUAUAUUAAUAUGAUUUUUUAAAACAACUUUUCUAUAGAAAAUUUUUGUAAAAAAUACACCGCUUAACAGUUUGGGAAGCUUGUGCGCGGAAAACGAGGAACACGUAGUUAACUAACUUUUCUAGAUUGUUACGGAUGCUUAAAUUUGGCUUGAGGUGAUAUAUACAUGAUGAAAAUUAAUAAACUCUAGCUAAAUUUUUUUCCGAGAAGGUUCCAGGAGCCCCUCUCCACAUAUGCAGCUCCGCCCCUGCUUGUGGUGAGAUGUGCCCAUCCACAUUCAGUUCCUAGACUUAACAUGGUUACUCGUUUUAUCAUUAAUUAUCUUUGCCGGUUAGAGCGAAUACCUGGCACAGAUAGACUGCCUAUCUAUCUAUGCCGGUUAUAUGCCAAAUCGCGUCUACAAUUUCUACACUAAAAUUUGUUUUAGCACAUUUAUAUCAAUACGGACCAUAGUUUUAACUCUUCUUUUUUUUUAAUUCAACACACGACUGUUUGUUGUAAAGUGUAUAUUAAAUCUUUUGUAUACAGCUAUGUAUUAAGCCACAAUUUCCAUUGUUCUAGUACACUCAGAAUUUUCUUCGGGGUCAAAAAAUUUCUUGGCAGCCAUAAUAAAACCGCCAAUAAAUUGUUUUUUUCCUUGGAGGUGAUUCUGAACCACCAAAGGUGUACCCACUCUGUUCCAAAAUAUAAAAAUUCCUAGUUUUUAAAUCAUAUUCCACGUUAUAUGGAUUUCUAGCACUAUUUAUCGUACUACUUAUCACAUCAAUCUUAUUCAAAUUUCAUCCUAUUUAUUAUGGGCACCAAAAUCUUUUCUUCUUAGCCAUAAUCUUUGUCGAACAACUUAGAACUAGUUAUAAUUUAGAACGAAGUGUGUAAUCUUUAUUCUUGAGGUGUGAAAUAUCUGCCAAGGUAUAUAUGUAAAGUUUGGGUAGACUGCUGCCCUGGUUAUGAUAUUUAUUAGACAUAGCGUUCGCCCAAUACCAAGGUAUCCACAAGAUUACAGUAAGAAUAAAGAUACAUGGAUUUUUAUACAGUUUCAGGUCCUCCUAUGAUGGGUAAUAGCCUUAUUCUAUUGGCCAGAGUUGUUGACAAGUACUAUUUGUUUUGUCUUCCUCUUCUUGGGGUUGUUGUAUUUAUACACUCAGUUAACCCCUUGUCCAUGUAGAAUUAUGGAGACAAAUAUGGAUAAUAUCUUAGUAGUCUUGGUAGAACACGAGUAGGAUUUUGUAUUUAUUUGCUUAUCUGGCACUCCUUCCUUAUAUGGUUUGGGACUUUAUCCAUAUGUGUGGACUUUCUUUUUAUAUAAAACUUAGAAUGUAAUACUUGUGCUGAAGUAUGUGAACGUUUAUGGGCUAUCACAUAUCUGUUACACUUACAACUGCCUUCUUAGCGCUUACGUUGUAGUUUUUUUUUAUUGACAUGUCAUUUGCAAAAUGUUUCUUCAUCCAUUAAUUACUUAUACAUGAGUAAUAAUUCACAUCUCAUGAAGAAAAGGGGUUACUAGUGUACUACACACCUCGAAUCCACGAUGUAUUAGUUCCUCCCUCUGUUUCAUAAUAUAAGAUAUUUGACUUUUUUGCUUGCAAUGUUUGAUCAUUUAUCUUACUCAAAAAUUAUGAAAAUAUUAUUUAUUUUGCUUGUAACUUACUUUAUUAUCAAAAGAACUUUAAGUAUGACUUAUCGUUUUAUAUAUUUAUACUAAAUUUUUGAAUAAGAUGAAUGGUUAAAUAUUGCAACAAAAAAAGUCAAGCAUCUUAUAUUAUGAAACGGAGGUAGUAAUUAAUAGUCAAAACUGUAUAUGCAUCAUUGAUUUGAUCUGCGUUUUGGAAUGACAUUUAGUAUGUUCAAGUUCACACUGAAUCCUAAUUAAAUUGGCACCCUCGUCCAAAACAUUCCAGAGACACCCCUGUACGGAUGGUAAUGGGUCUAACCAUUUUGCCUGUAAAAUUUAAGGGCCGAGUUCAAAACCGGUUAAAAAUAAAAUUAUAUAGAGUUUUGAGCUAAAAUUUUUAAGAAUUAAAUAGGGUUGUAAAAAAACCUAAGGGUAUUGGCUCAUUACCACUCCUACACCCUUGUAUAAUCGAGCUAUGUUCUUGUUGAUGGCUUUGUGCCAUUGAGAACAUUAAAUUUAGGGUUUUUUUAUCAUCCGUGAAAAGUAUCUUAAGUUACCAAAAAUUUUAGUAUAAAUUUUUGGUACCUCAAUAUACUAAACUUUUAUAAAAAAGUGUGGUACGUUGAGAUACUUUUUGAAGGAUAAUAAAAAAACUCUUAAAUUUAAAUCAGCCAUCCUAGGUACAAACUACGUACUCGGACGAAGUGACAACAUGCAUGCACAUCAGAAUAAGGCUCUGCAUGCAUGCAUGCCUGCCUGAUACGUAUACAUAACACCCUUCGAUUCUCUCUGAAGAUGGAUGGUCAAUGAAGCAUACAUAUGUAGACAAACUAAGCCCUUUAACUGAUCUCCUAAUUAAAACAAAAGGGAUUUAAAUUUUGAUCACACCAAAAUCACAAACUAACCAGCUCAUAAUUAAUUAACUAGGAGUAACACGGCUAGCUAGCUACUGCAUUUUUAUUACCAGACCAGCUAAUAAUGCAUCUGGAUGGAUGCAUAUAUGGAUCAUGGUAGCUAUCGGAGGAGGGUGCGGAUGAUGUCAGCCUGGGGGCUGUUGCUGUCCAUGGUCGCCAUGAGCUCCGACAGCCGCUCGCUGAGGUCGUCCACUUCCCGGUGCAGGCUCUGGAUGUAGCUGCACGUCUCCUUCAGCAGCUUCGCCGCCGGCGACUGCACCACCGCCGGCAUGCAUGCAUCCACAUUACAUAUAUAUAUAUAUAUAACCAGCUGGAACGAACUAUAAACUGCUGCAACUUAAUUAGCUUGCUUCUUCGUCUCUAUCGUAUGUUGGCUGGAGAAGGGCGAACGACUUACCGGCCGGCCGGUGGCGCCGCGGCGGCGGGAGGAGUCCGGGAGGAGGGACUGCAGCUUGGAGAUGAGCUCGGUGAUCUCGUCGUCGGUGAUCCUGCCUGAUGCUCGCCGCCCUGACAUCUCCAAGUCCAAGCUAGCUAGAUUUUAUGGAUCUCAGGUACUGUACUGUACUUACUAUAGCUAGAACCUGCAACUAAUUUGCUACUUAAUGCUUGUGUUGUGUGCCAGCUAGAGCUCAAAGAGGGAUCGAUUUUGGUAUCGAGCUAGGGGAUUAAUUAUUGGAAGCAGUGUUGUUGUUAGCAAGCUAGGGAAGGUGAAAGGGACUGCAAAAGAGGAGAGGAACACAUAAGACCUACCUAGACUACAGAGAUGUGGAGAAGUUUGGAGAGAGUGUGGUGAGUUAGAUUGGGUGCUGCUAUGGGUGUAUUAAUAGGAGAUGGAGAGAUGGGCACACUUGUCCCCCUUGUUCUGCCUGCACUCCAGCUGGUGGGCCCUGGGCUUGCCUGUGGGCCCCCAGCCCACUAGACAUCAAACAUGUGAGAUUGUCAAUGGUGUCUAGCUCACCUUUUUUUUUUCCCUCACCCUCUCGUGCACAAAAACAAUAGAAAGGAGUUCAAGAGGGAUUAGCAAUAUAUCCUCGAUAUAUCCAAUUUUGUGCACCCAGAAAUCUUAUUAUCUUGGUUUUCAAAAGAAUGAUGUCAUAAAGUACAUAUAGUUAAAUCUCAAAAAUCUUAAUCGUGUCAGUAGAUAAAAAAUAUUACAUUUUAACUUAACUGUGGAACUUAUAUUAGUAGAUUUCCAAAAAAAAAACUCUUUCAUGUUUCUAUAUUGUUUAACUGUUUGUAUAAAUAUAUUGAUUAAGAAUGCAACCAUAAGCAUUGAGACUAUAUUGAUGUCCAUGACAACAUCAUUUUGAGAAUAAAGUAGUAUAAUGUUUGAUUGAUUAGAUUCUAGUUAAUUUGUUACCGAAGUGCAUAGAUAUUAUAUUAAAUAUUACUACUAGAGAACUCCUAUAGGUGACAGCUAAUAGGCGCGGUUCAUUUAAAAUUGGCACCUCCUACUGGUUGUUUCCCACCGUUGAGCAAUGCCGGUUUUAGCGAAAAACAAAACCAUUAGUAUACUGUCGUUGCUAAAAAACUAGCAACUAUAAUAAUCUAUAGGUGCUGGUUAUCUAAAAACGACACCUUUAGCAAACUGUAGGUACUGGAUAAUUAAAAAAACAACACACAUAAUAAGACGAAAUGAGACGUGAAUCACAUAAAGUAGUCCCUAUCCCCAUCUCCCUCUCUCACCUCUCUUCCAGAGAUGAUAGAGAGUUGUCACCAGGACUCCUCUUAAUUCCCCACUUGCAUCGUCAGGUCCCCUCCUCUCUCUCUUGUCAAGCCGCAGAUCGGUGUGUCAAACGCCAUCACUCCCUCUUCCUCUACCCACUGGCCGAAUGUAGUGGUAGUUGACGGGAAUGGUUGUGUAGGAUCAUGUGUGGUGGAUGACACAGGCAGCGGCGACAACCUUGAUGACGACGCACAAGUAGCAGUGGCCUCCUUCCCUCUCCAGUGGCUAUGCCCUCGGAUCUAGCAGCAUGAAGGUUAGGGUUCGCUGGAUCCGGCUGACCUAGUUGACGACAAUGGUGUUGGUGACUACGGUAGGACAGUGGCGGUGAGUCAGAGCUAUUAUGUUGAUCUAUGCCAUUGUUGCUCUGGAUUGUUGUUGAAGCAAUAUUUUGACUACAUUGUUCUUGAUCUUUGAUAUGUGAUGUGGUUCUGUGGCUUUGAUGAUGGAUUUAAUUUUUGCCCUCUUUUUUUCUGUUGGAAAUUAGUCACUCAAACACUGUUGGUGAUGUUGUUAAUCUUUGCUUUGUUAUGGAUAUGGGUUUUGGGAGGCAUCCGCUCCGAGAAUCGGCUUGAAUCAAGUCGAUGCUUGGAGUAUGUUUUUUUUUUGGCCCGGGGGACACAGGUGCCAAUUCUAUUGUAGCACCUAUGGCCACCCCCAUGAUAGGUGCUAUCUAAUUGGUGCCAGUAAAAAAUCCGUUACCUAUAAUAUUUAUGCAAUUCAUACACUACUACUACAGAAGUACACCAGAGCUAGUUUGGAGACAUAUCUGCUCACUUCUCAUUACUAUAAGAGUUACUGUACAAGACCCAAAUGGCUCGUAACUUUCACCAUGCCAAGACAAAUUAUAUUAAUGUCAAUUACUACCUAGAGAAGGAAACCAUUAGGAACAUCCAUGUAAAUGACAAAGAAUUUUUUUUGAAAAGAACUGAACAUUUUCUUAGUACUAUAUUCUCAAGAAUAAGCGGUUGUAAAAUUAAUUUCGAGAUUUCGGCUCCCAUCGUUUCGCUUUUUAGUGAAAAAAGAAAAACGUGUUUUUACAAACGAAAAAUAAUUUAUAGGUAAAACUUUUAUAUACGUGUCCAUAACGACUCAAAAGCGAAAUGUAUAAAACAAACCAUAAUGAAAAACCACAAAAUCAAGUUUAAAUUAAAUUCUGAAAUUCAUAUUUUGGCUUAUAAGCAGUUACAACUGCAAAACGAUGGAGCCCGAAACUUUUUAGCCAGAAUGAAACAACCGCGUGGAUUAAAAGCAAUAUGGGAGUGGCGAAUCAUUGUUAACAUGUCAUGAAUAUAUACUACUCCUUGUAUCAAAAAAUAUAAACAUUUCUAGUAUUUGAAUAUUAUCCUAAACUAUAAGUAUUUCUAGUACUAUUCACAGUACUAGUGAUCCAAUCAAUCACUUAUUAUUCAAGAUUCUUCUCAUUUUAUCCUCCUACUCUCCUACCCUUAUUAUUCCUCAUUAUUAAUGGUCAUUAUAGUUUUUCUUCUCAGACUUAAUUAGUGCUAAACAACCUAAAAAUGCUUAUAUUUUGGGACGGACGUAGUAUUACUAUAGAGAAAUGUAUCAAAUGGCAUGGUGAAAUGAAGUUUAUUUAUAAAAUAAAUUAUGAACGAUUUAUUUUUAAAUUUGAAAUUAAAAAGGUUGACAGAAAAAAAAAUCAUGAAAACUAUACAUGGCCUUCCCCUAAGUUUCAGGACGUCGAGACAAAAUACAUUAACGGCAAGUGCUACCCAGAGAGGGAACCCAUUUGUCACAAAAAUGGACUGAUAUGAUAUAUGCUGGUCCAUGCAUGCAUGUCCACUGUCAACUGGGACAUGGAUAGAUAAGGAGCUCAUACACUCAUGGUAUAUAUGGAUCCACUUACAACUGUGUUUUUAUAUAGCCAAAUAUAUAUAAUGUGAUUUAUAAGAAUAAUUUCAUGUAGAUUUUUUAGACUUAUUGGUAGCCACACUGGAAAUAAGGCUAGGGAACAAAAGUGACGAACAAAACCCCAUAAAUUAAUUUUAAAAUCAAAUUCCAAAAUCCAAAAUGUGUUUCUUAGUAGUGCAAAUUAAUUAAUUGGCUCAAUGAUAAUAUGAAAAUAGGUAGACUAGAAAAGUUCUGAGAUAAUAAUAUUAAUUCAGCAGGCAUCUAUUAUAUGUCCUGCAACACAAAUUAUACCUCGAGCGAGAAAAAAACAAAAUUAGUUGUAACUUUAACUAUUUGUGUACGUGGAAGUGGAACUCUAUGUGUUCAAACAAAUACUAAUCCGUUUUAUAGUAUAAGACUUUUUAUAUUGCCUAUAUUUAUUUGGAUACUAAUUAAUAAAUCUAAACAUAUAUACAAACAAAUAUACAUUGAUCAAUAGGUGAAUGUGUAUACAUAUAAAAAGUCUUACGAUAUGAAACCAGUACUUUUACAAUAAUCUUUCAUAGCAAUUUUAUUGCAUCCGAUCGAAGAGAAAAAGGGUGAAAACAUCUCUAGAUGGAUCAGGUGGCCAUGAAAGGGCAAAGAAGAUCUAAUUGGGAGGUGGUUUAAUGGCUGUGCUGCUGGGGCCGGCAGGCCGGCCCUGUAAUUAAUUUAAGCGUAAGGACAUGCAUGCAUCGAUCACUGUCAGUCUCUCACCCUGCCAGGUGGGACCCACCCAAUGUGUUCCAGCCAGUUUGCCACAGGGAUCGAUCGAGCUUCAAGUUCAACGUGACACAAAAGCGACAUGUGAGGCUACAUUGCAUGCAUGGCAUAUAUAUACUAUGUGUCUGCUAGAUGGUCAACACAACACAUAUGCAAUGCUGCUACUAAUGUGUAUAUAUAACAUCUCAUCCUAAUUAACUGAUCUUAAUUAAACGACAUUUUUUUUUUUGUGACAGCAUGCAUGCAAUGCAUCGAGACACUACUGACAAUAUCAGCUAUUAAUUUGGGAACAAACCGGCCGGCAUAUAUAUAUAUACAAUGUUGGCAGGAGAAGUUUGUGUCACAUGCAUAAUAAUGUGCUAAUUGUGCAUGGUUUCUGGGCAGACAAUGGAUGCAUAUGUAGGUUAGCAAUUAACUUGCGUGUGUGAAUCCAUGGGUUAAUCACUUUGGCGGUCGGAGAGUAUGCAGAACUACUGAAUCUCUUGAUCAUAAAAGUCAAAUCAUGCCCACGUUGUCUCGAUCGAUCGAGUUUACUACGACAUAUAUAUACGUAGCUAGGAGCAUCAUAUCAGAAAAUACCCUAAAAGAUCUUUUAAAUUUUAGGACAUUGGUUCACUUUGAGAUUUCUUUGAGAUUUGUGUGUCAUUUUAAUUAUCUUCUCAUCCUCCUCUUCUUACUCAAUUUGAGUUCCGCACCUAUCGACCACCACAACUCCUCCCUCCCUCUCAAUCUGAGUAUGGUAUACCUAUCGACUACCACGCCUCUCCCUCCUCCUCCUCCACAUGCCAGGUGUUGACAGGGGUUGUCCCCAAAGAUAUCACCAUUGCUUCCACCUCAUAGUGGUGACGGGGGUUGCCCCCAAAGAUGUCACCAUUGCUUCCCCCUCCUAAUUAGUUGGGAUCGAAUGCCUCCUCCAUCAACACUAGCCACCACCCGCCCGUUUAUAAUCUCACAGCAUCAACAGUGCCAUCACCAUCGCCACCUCAUCGAACACUCAUUAUGUCUCACCCAUCAUUGUGUCAUCACGACCAAUCCUUUAAGACUAGUGAACUCCACCUCUUCAUCACCAACCCUCUUCGUGCUCCGAACUAGCCUACCCUAAGUUUCAAAUAAUUGGGUUGCCGUUAGUCGCCGAAGCUACUACUACUCAUAAGAGAGAACAGCAUGGGCAUGAAUUAUGGUUAUGAUCAAUCCAAUGGUCCAAAACCUAUUGGGUUUAUCUCCCGUCACACUCUCUCUUUAGAAUGUUAUUUAGCAAUUCUAUAACAUAUAUGCCCUACCUUACAGCCACUCUCUCCUUAAAAUGUUAUUUAGCAAUUCUAUGACAUAUAUGCCCUACCUUACAGCCAGGCUCGCCUCAGACCCAUGGGCAGAGGGGGUGACGGCCUAGGGCCCACACCAAAAGUGGUCCCAUUACACCUUCCUUUGCAAAACAUCGAGAAGAGUAUUUUAGACAAUAUUGAUCUUAAAAAAUAUCAUUGAUGAUUUUGCUUCAAGAAAUGAUCGCAGAAGUUCAUUUCUACAAAAUAUAAUAGGUAUUUUUCAUUACGAAUUUAAGAUAUUCAUACUAUUUUAAUACUUUAAUUUUAUGGUUAUAUACUAUAUUAGUAAUAUUUAUUGAUGUGAUUAUGUCAUAUGGCUUACAUAACAAUACAUUAUACGUAAAAAUAGUCCUAAGGGACUAUAAUGUCGAGUUCUCCGAGGGGCCUUCAAAAACAUGGAGUCGGGCCUACCUGCAACAUCAAGGAGUGAUAACAAUAGCUUUGCUUGUUCAUACACAUAAGUCACAAACAAGUGUCGGUUGCUCACACUAGCUAUGGAGAUGGUCGAUCACCGAGUGCAUCAAAGAAGACAAGGAUGUGCAGCUCAGCUGUAGGAUCAAGGAGAUAAGGGUGCAUGUGUGCAGCUGUGCGACGAGAUAAGGUCAGCUCAAUUUAUGUAUCAAUGCCGGUUAUUUAUUUUAAAGUCAUCAGUUCUAGGUCUUCGCAACAAUCGGCAUAAAUAGGCAGCCUCAAGUUUCAGAGAAACUACCCUAAUGUCCCGAUGGAUUUGGUGUUUUGUCGCACUUAGAUAAACGCUAUGCGCCACUAUUGUAAGAGCUUAUACCUAGCUAGCGAUAUCGAAGUCAGAGACAUUUUUGCUAACAAAAAUAUAUUGACAAAUUUGAGGCCCGAUUCAGAGUUGAAUUAUAUAUAUUGACAAAAUAGCAGGGGACCUUGUGAGUUCUAGUAGUGUACUAGUGUGUAUUCACUUAAUCCCUAAAGAUAUGAACAGUGUAUAGAGAUCGUGCACUCUGUAUGAGUGGAACCUACCAUAGAUGCCAUUAGUUCUGUUAAACUCCAUAAUGCUUAUGGAUAGAGUAGAAAACAAAGUGGAUUCCAAAUGUGAAAGAAAAAUAUCUCUCUCGCACAACCCCCAUAACUCUCAUUCAGAAAAUAGUAUAUUUUAUACUACUCUAUGGGCAACCCAUAUAGUUAUGGAUAACUUUAGCAAUUAAUACUAUAGAGACCACACUCACGAUAUAUAAAGACAGCUCAAAUGAAGACAUUUAUUAUAUAAUAACUACUUCUGUAGCACCGUCGAUGUCCUAAUGGCACCUGUAGGUAAUGAAUUUUCUAAGUGAAAAAUAAGCUAAAAGAACAUCCCACCAUGACAAAUGGUAAUUUGUAUGGCUUCCCUAACAUUUUUGUUUCACCGCAAAAUAACACAUUAAAAUAUUCAGAUUGAGUGAAGACAUAUACAUACACAUGAGGUAAUACGGUACCUAAAAACUAUAAAUUCAUAUUUAAUUUGUACUACUGUAUAUUAUUGAUCUAUCAAACUAUGCAGUAUAUAUUCACUGAUUGGUAUUGUCUGGUAGACACCUGGCCUGCAUACUCUUGGUCAAGUCAAGAGGCAACAAGAGCACGUGCUGCGAUAGUGAAGAAACCGAUUUUACAAAUUCCUCUCGCACCAACUGACAGUUAUAUAUUUGGUCAGUUAGUAAGGAGAUCAUGAUUGUGUCAAUUCUAAUCCGUUUGAAUAGAUUUGAUUUGUUUAAUUAAUUGGUGCAUGGGAUAACUUCAUCAAGCUACAGUUGCGAGUUAAACUAGCUGAACCUCACUGUAUAUAUAUUUGCACUUCAUCACUAAACUUGUUUCAGUGUGUCAAUCUAGCCGUCUCGUCUUUUCACUUCUAGUCUAGCACACUAUCUGAUGUAAGGUGACUAAAUUUGUGUUACCGUGGCAUGUCUCCAUCGGAAUAGGAUCCUAUACCAUAUUGCUUCUACAGUAGCUCAUUGACAUGUGGAUCCAAUAGCAUAUUGGAUCCACAUGUCAGUGAGCAAUACUGCAGAGGAUCUGGAUCCGUCUCCAUCAAAGCUAUGUGGUCAUGUUUAAAGAUUUAUAUCACACUCAUGGCGCCCCACACACCCUAAGUAAUUUUUCUACACUAUAUAAGAAAAAGAUAGAUGUAAACCCCAUAAAUUAAUCAAUAGAUCUUUUGCAUUCUCAUCGACUCGUGACUGGGUGACUACUUGCCCCUCUUGGCUUCUUCAUAUACGUUGCUUGGUGAGUGGGCAAACGAACAUCCUAUCAGGGUUUGUGUUAUCACGGAAAGCUCUGGAACCACUGCCUGACGGAGCAUGAUUAUCACGGUUUCUGAUGGUUUGUGGUUAUCGUGAUAAUCACGAUAACCACGAUGGAGAAACUGUUGGCUUCGGCAACCCUAUGUCUUGUCGAUGACCGACGUGGUAAAACCGAUUGUGCCUCAACAAGUUGAUAAGAUUUUGCCAACAAGAUCCUCCGACUUAAAGUUUUAGAGAGACUCAUGCCGCUGACAUGGGGCCCAUAGAGGGUAGGACCCAUAUGUCAGCCACAAUGUCUCUCUAACUUUAAGUCAGAGUAAACCGUUUCCAAGAUUUUAACCACACCAUGCGAGAAGGGGUCGAUCGGACAAGAUUGAGUCUAAGACUACCACACUUUGCACCUAGCAGUUGAGACGAAUCAAUUUUUUUUUAGUUUAUCUCUUCUUUCUUUAGCUGAUCUAUAUGAAAUGACAACCGUAUUAACAUUGCUGUCUGCAGAGCCGCAAACAAUUAAGUUAUGUCCAAUGCAUUGGCCUUUGUGUUAAUUUCCUGGUGUCUCUAAUCUCCAGAUCCUAUAUAGGCGGUGUUAGUAGUGGAAGGCUAAUAAUAUUUCUUUGGCUCAUGUAGUGAAUAAUGUUUCCAACUCGUGUAUAAGUUUGUAGACAUGGCAAUUAGUCACAGACAGUGACUGACAAAUUGACAAUAGGGUAGGCCAUUUGCAUUUGUAUGCAAAUGCAUGGAACAUAUAGGCCGGUCUCCAUCGAGAGAGGUACACCAGCAUGGCAUAUCCUAAUUUUGUACAUACACAUAUGCUUGUGUGCAUGCUCCAUGGAGGGCACCUGUAUGCCCUACAACACAUGGGCACUUGUCCAAAUGUCCUCAGAUAGAUACAUAUAUAUAACUGCUAUGUCUAGGCCUUUUCCCACAAAAAUUAAUGCCACACAUUGAUCGAUUGGAUCUUUUGGGUACCCUGGCGACACAAGAUAAUAGGUGGGUUGUAACACCUUGCCUUCAAAAUCCGCGUUAGUCCGUUCUACAGAUUGAGCGGACACAUGUUUACAUGGUAUAGCGCUUACACUUUCGUCCUCGCUUCGUAUAAAAGGAUUAACCCAGGAUAUCAUGGUUGGAGCACCAAGACUUAUAAGCAGGCUCUUACCCACCUACACUUUCAACGUGGUAGCUAAACCACCACUACAGUCUACAUAUCCACUUCUGGGUAGGGAUGUAAUGGGUAAAUACCAUCAGGUAUUGGUACCCUAGACCUAUACCCACCAGUAAAAUUCCGUACCAUCAAAAUACCCAUACCUAUCACGGGUAGAAAAAUUUUCCCAGACCCAUACCCGCUUGGGUAAACCUUAUCCGUUGGGUCACCCAUAUACCCGCAAUAGUUUAAAACAAUCUAAAUUGCAUAAUUUCCAUAUAGCAUAUUACAGUAGACACUAGAUACUUAAGACAUCACACAUUCAUAUAAUGUGGUGGAAAGUGUAUGGAUGGUUUAAAUACCUAGGAUUUUGGUUAAUUGGGCUAAUAUUGGGCCAUGACGUGCAUUUAAACUUGUGAAUAUUUAUUACGCAUGGGUAAAUGGGUAUGGGGAUCAUAAGAAUGUUUCCAUAUCCGUGUACCCAUCGGGUGAAGGUGUUUGCCCGAUUACUUACCCACGGGUGAUAUAUUUAGUUCAUACCCGUACUCUAAUGGAGUAAAUACCUAUCGGGUCUUGGGUCACGAGUCUCGUUGCCAUCUCUACUUCUAGGCCACAUGGACCAAACAAUCACUACUAUUAGGCUUCAAACGUGCUAGGGUGUUACAUGGACAGUGGCUACUUUUGCUCCGAGCCAUGCCCUAGACUGCCUUAGCCAUGUGGUUUAUUUGCUUGCUAGUUUCAUGUAAUUUCCCAAAAUCUGCACCACAAGUUUUGGCAAGUAGUUUCUUUUAUAGCAUACAAAUAGUGUGGCAAAAAAAAAGGCUAAUAGUUGAGUAUUAUGACAUAGAGUGCAUAAGACAUAAGUGUGGCAUGCCAUAACUGCGCCUCAAACUAGAUAAACCGUAAUAUGUUCCGGUUGGCAAAUCUAGCCAUAUUCACAGCUGGUGAGACCUAUUAGAUGACAUUGAUGUGGUAUUAAGAAUCAGCAACCCUAGGAUUCUACAAGCCAAAAAAAGGACUCAAUGAAGCGAAAUUGAGUCGAUUCUUCGAGCCUCCUACCCUCUAUCCACGUUAAUAUCACAUGAAUGAACAAUUGCAUCCACAGACCAAACUUCAAAAAUAGAUCAACAGCUACAUCCACAUAUGAAGAUCAAUUAACACAUUAUCCCUUCGAACAUAUGAAUAAGAACAACAUGCACAUGGUAGUUGUUGUUAGCAUCGUUGCCACCAUGGAUAGGGCAUUGUUGCUACAGAGGGAGCUAUUGCUGCACUGGGAGAUGAGGACAAGGUAGCUCUAGAUUUGCGGAAGGGAGAAGUCGGCCGAUGUCGUCGAACCCAAUUAAGAUGCCUUCUCAUGCUCACCCUACCUCUCCUCUCUGAUGUGGCAGAGUAGUGUGGGGCUAGAUUUGGCAACCCCCAAGGUUGAGUUUGGCGGAUCAGUCACUAGACCUGUAGAAAGGAGAAGUUCUCCUUGGCAGUCGUCGUCACCGUCGCCGCGGCCACAUCACCAAGGAGAGGUGGACCACCAACCAUAUCUGAGCUCAAAGAGGUGCCAAGAGAGGGAGAACCAGAUAGAUGGAGGGGGUAGCGAGAGAGAGUGAAGAGGGAGUCGUGUCAUGAGGAUAAGAUCUCUACAAGGCAAGUUCAUUUUGUACUGACAAAAUAAAAACCACAGGUAUAGAUGCAAGUUCUAUUGGAGCCUAUUCAGAAGCUAUCAUAUGUCCGGCUUUUAAAUUAAGCGGCAUGUAUGAGGGUAUUCCUUGUUAGUGGUUAUAUAGUAAUGAUAGAUGCAAGUUCUAUUGGAGCCUAUUCAGAAGCUCCCAUAUGUCCGGCUUUUAAAUUAAGCGGCAUAUAUCAGAGCAUCCCUUAUUAAUGGUUAUGUAGUAAUGUAUAAAAACUUGUAAUCACUGUCGGUAUAUCAAUGGUACAACAUACAGAAAACAUUUAUAUAAGCAGUUGCUAACACAUUUGUAUAGGCAUACAGAGAACUCCAGCCGGUUUUCAUGGGCAAAACGUGCUUGCAGAAAACAAUUCCACAUCGACUUAUGUAAGAAAUUGAUCACUAUAUAAAUGACAUUUACAUACAUGCAUGCUACUAUAGAUUGUUAUAAAUAAAAUAUAACUUGGCCAGUGCAGGCCCACGAAGUAAUGAAUUACAGGUUCCAGCACAGUCUAGUGAUAAUUUUAAAAAUUCAAUGUUGCAUAAUCUGUACGUGACAAAGUUCAGCUACGUACGUCGUUCCAAAUUAUAACAUUUCCAGUCCAUAACCUUAAACGAUCGAGCAUAGGGUUAUGCUACUGAAGUCCGAAGAUGGGAUGAUAUUGGGCCGGGGUGAUCGUUUUGGUUUUUUCAGGAAAAAAAAGUCAAACGACAUAAAAAGUUUAUGAAAAAACUUUUUAUAUAUAUGUAUUCUUUGUGAUAAGAAAAUCUCAAAAUCAACUCUAUUUUAAAUAUAAAAAAUUUAAAUUUUAGCUUAUAAACAUAAGCAAAAGUGAAAAUACAUGGGUGAUAAGAUCAAAGCAUAUGUUAGGUUGAGAUACGAUGACCAUAGAUACAGUUUAAGAGAGGAUUAAUUAGCAGAGUUAGGCUGCGAGGAACUAUAUAUACAUAUGUACGGUGGGUAAUGUAAAUAUGUGAUCACUAAUUAGUCCUGUCAAUACUACAGUUUGGAAAUUACUAGAUUUCCAGUGAUUCAUGAAAUUGCGCGUAGCUCUCAAUUUGGGGAGGGGGGAGUGGUGGAACUGACCGGCCAUGGUGAUUCGCUGAUAUAUAGUUACGAUCGACAACGACUGCAGUUAGUACGUACGUAGUAUACCGUAUACGUAUAGUCUGCAGAGUCGUCCAAGGUUAGGGUACCCGUAGAGUGAGGCUGCCAUGCAGUGGCAUGCCCCCACCAUUAUUCAACCCAAGAUUCUUUACCAAAAAAAUCAAAUAUGUAUACUAUGUAUCCCGUAUAUGUUCUCAGCAAAAUAAAUAAGACAGCCACUUUAACCCAAAAAAGCAAAAAAUAACUAAGUUUACUGGGCCAUUUGCAUCAUCCACUCUUAUUUUGGCCCAAUUUGUAGCCAAAGCCCAUUUUUCCCACUACCACAGACCAAACCAGAAAAGGCGAUCGCACAAACGCCGCUGGCCAAGAGGCUAGAAUGCGUAUCAGGAGGUAUACAGCACGAACGAGCACAGUGGAUUUGGUCAAGGUUGUCUUUUUAGGCCCACGGUUGCUCCUUUUUCAUAGGUAUAGUCAAAUAGCCCACAGUCCAAAAUACAUUUUCCUUUUUAAAAUAACACCUUUCAAAUUUAUACUCACAAUUUUCAUAUGUAUAAAAUUUAUAUGUACAAAGUUUCUACAUAUAAAGUCUAUAUACAAAUCUCACAAAAAUUUUAUAUGUAUAAAUAUAUAUGUGCAAAGUCUGUGUGUAUGAAGUUUGUAUGUACAUAUUAUCUAUGAGUAAAGUGUCAUACAUAUCUACAAAAUAUUAUACAUAUAUAUAUAUAUAAAGUGUUUUAUGUUAAAAUAUAUACGUAUAAAUUUUCUAAGCCAAUGUACCGUCGGCAUAGUAAAAACUAAUUGCUUUGUGGCGUUAACUUUAAACAGGCCAAAAUACAAAUACAAAUGGGCCAAACCCGAGAACAAGUAUGUUGGGCCGGUGGCACACAAAAUAAGAAAAAGCGCAAAACAGAAACGCACACGUGUUGUUGGUGUUUUUGAUUCGAGCAUGUCAUCAGGUGCACGAAAAAUCGCUAAUUAGACCGACCCGACCAAACCUAUCUAAUUGUAGGCUGGCACUUGGGUUGGCCGGGCGGCAGCUUGGGCAGAGGUGAGCCGGCGGCCGGCGCUAGGGAGGCAUCUACCGCUCAGAAGUUGAUAAAAUGCCUAAGACCAUAUCCACGAGCAUGGUUAAAAUUUAGCUUUCUAAAUUUUAAUUUAGCAGUAUAUAUAUGAAAAGAUUUUAUCCCUGAAUUGAUAUUCACUUCAACCGAUUCUUCACUCUUACUCUCUAAAUCUCCUAACGGUUAGUUAAACUAUCCAACUUUUGGAAACUCCAACACUCAGUGGGAAGGAGACUUGGUAGAUUUGCCUACCAAUGAAGAAAGUUUAGCUAUUUUAAAUAGCAUGACAAAUUAUGAGUAGUCUCUUGGUGGUCACUUUUACAAUAUAAUUAUUAGUAUAGAAAGUAAUUUGAUUUCUUCGAGAUGUUCUAAGGUGAGUGAUGUCAAGAGUUUAUGUAAAAUUGGCUCUACAUGUGUAGCCAGCCUCUACAUCCAUUGCCCACCACUGCUGCCAUGCACGUACGUAUCGCGUGUAGCCUAUUGAAUUUGAACGUGUGCGCUAGCUACCUAGCUAGAUUAGACAAUAAUUAUAUUUGUUCAUGCUUGGAUUAAUCAUAAUGAUCAUGCCUAGAUCUGUCUAAGUAGUAGGGCUAAGGGGGUCGCAUGCAAAAUUGUUAGUCCCCUCCUCCCUCAAUCGCACAUGGGUGACACACAUCUACGAGUGCGGAUAAAACACCCAGUACGAGAACGUCAAGAGGACACCUACAAAAGUAGCAAGUCAUAUUGGCCGCCUCACCCCUAUACCAGGGUCCAACAGGUGACUGAGACGCUCAAUUUCAAGCUCAGCCAGUAGGUGUUUUAGAUAUAUAACCCCCUAGUUAGGGUUAAGAGUAUAUUUUUGUAUUUUUUGCAACAAAAAUCUAUUAAAAUUUUUAAUAAAAUAAAUAAAGAAAUUAAUCGAUAACUAGUUAAUUUUCGGCUUCUCUCCAUAACAACGACUCAUAUAUUUCUUUUCCCCGAUAAAUGCGGUAGAAAUUAUUGGUCAAUGUUUAUUUUACAGGCCAUUUCAUUAUCUAAAACAUUUUCUUUUAGCAAGGAGAGAGUAACUACUAAGAACCAGAGAGAUCCAAUGUGAUCCCAGACCGUGUUGUUUUCUAAUACUACAUUUUGGAAUUUCCAUUCGCAAACAUCUUAAAUUAUGCAUUCCGUGCAAAAAAAUUUAUUCUAUAAAACCUUCCUAGAAACAACUUUUCAACUUAUACGAGCCAAUUUAUUCGUUUAUGGCCUCUAAUAGCUAAUCCAAAGAUAAGAUAAGUCAUUAACUUGAACUAUCUCAAACGGACCUGGUUUAGGAGCAGCCCUGCUUCCCAGGAAUUUUUUUUUUAUUUUUUAAAGUUUUUAAUAAAUAAUUUUAUUACUAAACCUCAAGAGAAAAAUUUUUACUAGAUGAACCUUUUGAUCACGCCACCAACAUUGACAUAACAAAACAACAUUGUCACGCAGAGUUUUUAGUGUGGUAGACUUACCACGCCAGACAAACACGCAGAGUUUUUGGCCUACCAUGCAACCGACACUGGUGAAAAUAGUUUCUCUUGAGAUUCAGUAAUAAAAUUAUUUAUUAAAAAUUGUUUAAAAAAUAAAAAAAUCGCUUCCCAGUAAGUCAGAACGUUAGUUCAAAUGAGAUUUUAAUUUGUAAGCAUGGAGAAAAGAUGUAUCAAGCUGGCGAACUUAAACAAUUCACAGCGUGAAUCCAGAUUUAGUCCGAUGCAGAGGUGAGAACAUGUGUCAGAAUUCAGAUAUUAUCAAUCAGAGUACUGGAUUAGCAUCUCACAAGUGAACUCCAGAUACUAUCAAUCAGAGUACUGCAUUAGCAUCUCACAAGUCAACUCCAGAUACCCUGAAAUGAACAGCAGCAUAAACAUACGGCACUAGCAACAGACCCCNNNNNNNNNNNNNNNNNNNNNNNNNNNNNNNNNNNNNNNNNNCCCCAAAGAUAGGUAGAUUCAACAGCACAGUUGCGGACAACACUUGCUGCAUGGACCAUAUGCAUCCAUAUGAGCUUAUAGGGGAAAACACAGAGAAGAUGCAUGAACAUGAGCAAUCAGAUGCGUGCACAAUCAAACCGCAAAUGUUGACUCAGAAAACUUCCAUGAAAGCGAAAUCGCACCACAAUGGGAACCAAUACCAUACCUUUUUGCUGCCAAUUGGGCUGCGCUGCCGUCGACGCUGCUGCGAAAAAUAUGCAAGGAAGGGGGCAAAAAAAAGAAGAUGAGAAACACAAGAGAAUAAAGUUCCUUACAAGUUGCCAAAACAAAAAGGUAAUAUUCACCAUGAAUGAGCCAUUUUUUCCCAUCUCUUGUCAACGUCCUGCAACAGAGAGCAAAAACAACUUCUCCAGCCGUGCCGUUACGUAUCAUAUCAUCCAUGGUUUUUAUGCCUUUCACACAGAUCAUCAACCCUUAAUUCCUGAUAUUCCACUAGACCCAAAAAAUUCCUGAUAUUCAACCAGACCAAGUAUAACUAAAAUAAAUUCUCCAAGGCGAUAUUCGUCCAUUGGUAAGAUAAAGUGGAGCAGUAUAAAUAUGAUGUUUGAUGCUUGCGAUUCACAUCUAAGAGUCCAUAGGGCAGUCACAAAAGAAGUCUAAUUAUAUAUUUGAGAAUUGACAAAGUUCAGAGAGUGACGCAAAAGUAGCAUUUUAAAAAAGUGAGAAACAGAAGAAAUCAACCUGAAGACAAAAAUGAAUAAUUAGGUGCAGCUGUGUCACGGUUUACUCAAGAACGUAAAGAAGAAUGCAAAGUUCGAAAUGAAACUACAACAUCAAAGUCAGCCAAACAAAGACAAACUAUAAAAAAAGAGAAUGCAAUGACAUGCAUGCCCCAUCAAACAAUUCAACCAACUUGAAAGAUUUCUUUGCAAGAAGUCAAGCUUGUACAAACUGCAAGAUGGAACACCAUACCAGAAUAGUACAACAGUGACUUCUGACAAAUUAUUGAUAUGUACCUAUGGAUGCAAUAUAUUCUAUUGAAUUUUGCAAGCAGCAAAAAGCAGACACUUUAAUCAUAUAUGGUGAAUUGAUAACUUCAAGGUUGAAAAGGGGAAGCUUCACCAACACAUUAGAACACUGCAAAGAUGUGAAACUUCUACAUCUAACUGGUCAUCGAUGAUUCUACAUCAUAAACUGGUAGAGAAGUCCUACAGAGUUGAACAACCAAACAUGAUACAUUUAGUAUUUUACUGAACUGACCAACUAUUUGCUGUCGCAACCAAGGGAAAAAUAAUCACCAAAAAGCUUUAAAUUCAGAAUUUACGCAAUUAGCGAAAUCAACGAUUGGCAUUUCAAAUAUGCAAGUUUUUUAACCAAAACAAACAAAUGUGCAUCACAAGCUUACAACAUGAACAAGGAUCAAACUGUGUCCAAAGUUUAGCAUUAGCAUGUGAAAAAUGCCAUGGUCUUUCUCUUACAAAGUAGAAAGGUCACUUUUCUUGGUAGAUUUGAUUGCUACUCCCUCCGUAUCAUAUUAUAAGUUAUUUUGGGUUUGUCCAAAAUCAAACAUCUUCCAGUUUAACCGAAUUUAUAUAAAAAAAAUGUACUAACAUCUACAACACCAAAUUAGUUUCAUCAAAUCCAUCAGUGAUAUUUUUAUUUUUAUAGUAUAUUUAUUUUGUGUUUAAAAUGUUGCUAUAUUUUUCAAUAAACUUGGUCAAAUUUGAAGAGGUUUAACUUAGGACAAACCCAAAGUAACUUAUAAUAUAAAAUAGAAGGAAUAAGUAUUAACACUAAAAUGAUGGAUCAGCUAGAUAAAAAAGCAAUUUAGCACAACAUUCCUUCUUUGCAAAAGAAGCUUUGAAACAGCCUAUUUCUCUAAUUCAAAAUGUUUAUGACCCAAAGAAGAUGCUGUAUAGUAGGACAGUUAGCACAUUUCCUUCUUUUGACAAAGAAGCUUUGAAACAUCUUAUUCACUAAUUAAAGUUACUUAGAAUAAUGUUGUAUAGUAUGACUAAUCUUCACUACACAAAGAAAUGAAUAGUAUAAAUAAUCAUGCUAUUCAACACAUUUAUUAGAACUGCACAAAAUUAUAAAUGACAAUUUAUUACUAUAGCUCAACAUAAAGAGUGUUAGCUAUCCCAAAAUGGUAAAAGUCACCAGUUAUUUUAACUCACUUUAACAGAGCCUAGAAUCCACGAAAUUCUGAAGUCCUAAAACAGAAUUUACCGUUUAUCAGAAAAGGCAGUAGCUCCACUAAUUUCACCAAGCUACAGAAAAGUAUCAGUGACUCCAGGAAACUAAUCUUAUUGCCAAAGCGGUUGACGGUUACUUCCUGAUGUAGUAGUUUUUAUGUGUGAACUUAACAUAAGUAGCGUUACAACAGAAUAUGUAACCAAACAAUCAUGGAUGGCUCAAAGCUGUAAAUUAUGGAUGAUUAUCAAUUAGCUAACAAUGUAACUGUUCCAUCUCAGUGUUUAAUAUAUCUGUAAGCAUGAUCCAUGAAUAACGGAAAAUUUGUUUAUAGUAUAUCAGUCAGGUUUUGCUUCACAGGCAUUAUGCAAUAGAGAAUUUGAGUUAAUUUUCCAGAAAGAACCUGGCUACUCUCGAGUUGCAUUAACUUGGUUAAUGUCAUGUUUCUCUGUUAUUCACAGGUCAUGAUAUCAGCUUCUGCAAUGCAUUAAAGGAACGUUAUUGAUGCACUAUUAUACUUAACUUUAAAUACAUUUCAAAAAUAAUCCAGAAAGAAAUAAAUGGCAUAGCAACAAAAAAAAAUGAUGAUUCAUACAGUUAGAGGCAAGGACAAGACAAAAAUAAAAGUGAAGUUAAUGAUUUUCUUUGGAUCAAAGAAUGAAAGCAACCAAAUUAGGAGUCCAACCUAACAGUGUCAACAUUUGCAAUAGUCAAAUAUUAAGAGGACAACUAGAAAGGUAUCCUUCCAAAUCUUGAUGAUACAAGAUUGACUGAAAGGGAAACCAUUCCAUGUUGGAUUUGAUCCAAGUAGAGGGUGUCAAUUUCUAAGAGCUAGAAAAUCCAAAGGGUGAUUGGCCUGAGUCAAAUUCAUACAAACAAUGAAACAAACAGAAAAGAUCUGGCAUAAUACAUAGGAUAAAGAACAGGUCAAAAAUUAUGGCCAUGAAUAUGAAAUACAUGACAAGCAUAAUUGAUGAUCCUUCUUUGAUCCAGGUUAUAGACAAUCAUACUAUCAAAAUAACUUGCUUCAUCAUCAUCAAUGAUGGAAAGCCGCUAAAAAUUGUUGUUCAUGGAUUAUUCAUAAGGCUUUUUUUUUGCAUGGUAUCAUCUUCGAAAUCAUGAUAUUGAUCCAAAUGUAAAUUAAGAAGUGGAUUAGCUGGGGGAGAAAACAGAUGUAUUAGAACUCAAGGGUUACAAGAAACUUCUGCUGCUCUGCUGAGGUCGAUGGCAGAAAGUCUUGACAAAGAAUGAAUGUUGAAGCUAAUCAGGUCUGCCUUUAUGCAUAUCUCUUUGUAAAAUCACUGUACUCAUCCUUGGUCCAGUGAACUAGCAGCCCAUCACAGCACAAUUAUACACAAAAUUUCCAGAUGGCCGUCUGUCAAUCAAAUCCCACUCAGGUUGCUUGUCAUCCGGGUUCCAUGAGUUGAUCUCAAUUGUACCACCAACUGGAGUUCUGGGACCACCAAUGACAAUCAGCCUCUCACCACAUGCCCUAAAUGCAAGUCCCCAGCCAUUCAUCGAUACAGAACGCUCUGGUAAAUUUCCAAGUGUUAUCCACUUAUUAUUCUUCUUAUCAUACUUCUUCACAACCUUUUCACUGUAAUUAGCAGCAUAUAGCUCAUCCUUCACAACCGCAAUAAGUGGGGGUGCGCCGCUCACUCCAUUGAGACCUUCAGACAUGUCUUCAAUCACCUUCCAAGUCUGGCUCUGUAUGUCAUACUCCUCACCGCAGGUCAAGACCUUGUUGUUGUUGGUCACACCACCAAGGACAUAGAACUUGCCAUCCAUGAACACCCCAGAGCAAUUCUUUCUUGCUCUAUUCAUGCUAGGGAGGGGUGCCCAUGUAUGUGUUUCGGAGUUAUACACCUCUGCUGAGUUGAGUAUCCUGCCAAAAGAAUCAGUACCACCGGCCACAUACGCCUUCUCCCCAACGCUUGCUGACCCGAACAGACACCGUGGGGCGUUCAUCACCUCGCCCCGUGUCCAAGAGUUAGUCAGUAUGCUAUAUCUGAAGACAAGGUGUGUCAUCCCAAACACGAGCAGCUCAGUGCCCACGGCCAGAGACUCCUUAUCUGAGCACAUGAAACACUGAUCAUGUGGCAUCUUGGGCACAGAGAUCCAUCGCCUGCGGUACGGGUCGUAGGCAUCCCACUCCAACACAUUGCAGGAGAAGUACACCCAAUGCUCAGAGAUCUUAUUCUGCCGCCGCAGCCGGUAGAUCUCCCCUCCGCGCACCAGCGAGCGAAAAUCCUGGUUAAGCGAUGCCACGCGGCCGUACUCAGACCGUGACAGCUUGAGCAGGCAGUUGAUGGAAAGGUCACGGCCAAUCUCCCCGAUGAGAUUACUCCCACCACCGCCGUUCUGCUCCCCUCCACCACCGGCGGCGGCAGCAGCAGCGCGGCGUCCGGGGGGGCCAUGCGCCUCACGGAUGUCGGGCGUGUGCGGCUGCGGCGACGGCGGCUUGCUGCGCUUGCCGCCGUCGUCCACCUCCUCCAGGCCAAGGCCGUCGACGUCGUCGACGUCUUCCGGCGCGGCGCGCUUGCGGCUCCCGCCGGGGAGGAGCUCCGGCGCCAGGCACCCCCACCUCGCCUCCUCCGCCUCCCCGCCCNNNNNNNNNNNNNNNNNNNNNNNNNNNNNNNNNNNNNNNNNNNNNNNNNNNNNNNNNNNNNNNNNNNNNNNNNNNNNNNNNNNNNNNNNNNCCUCUCGUGAGUCAGGGCGGUCGCCUCGCCUCGCCUCGCCUCGCGGCGCUCCAAUCUACUGCGAGAGAGAAGAGAGAAAGAGAGGCGAUUACGAAUUGAAACAACAAAUCGCCAUGAACGCCGCCGGCUCAAACAACCACACAGAUCCGAUCCGAUCCGAUCCGAGAAGACAACGCAUCGGGAGAUCGAAGCCCACCAACCACCCAACAAAUCAACUGCCCCAAAUCCAGCAACAUCCCAACCCGAUCCACGAAACGCCCCCCACCCCCAAAUCAAUCCCCCAACCCCACAACGCAAGGAACGCACCUGUACAGCUCAAAUCAACCGGCGGUGGCGGCGGCGGCUGGAUCCGUGAAGCACCGAGCACCGAGCACCGAGCACCGAGCCAAGCAGAAUCAGACCAUCCCAAUCCCAAUCCCAGAAAAAUCCCCUCCUCCUCCUCCGCCUCAGCCUAAGCGGAGAAACGGAGCUGCAUCCGCGUGCGGCGCCUAUAUAUAGAUAGAAGCGGCCGCAGGAGAGCAGGAAGGGGGGGGGGGGAUUCUGCUGCCGCCGCCGCUGCUGCUGCUGCUGCUUCUUCUUCUUCUUCUUCCUCUGCCGCCGCUGCUGCUGCUGCUGCCGCCGCCGCUGCUUUUCUCCUCUCUCUCUCUCUCUCUCUUUUGUGCGCCGCUGCCGCUGCCGACUGCCGCUGCCGCUGCUGGGGGACUUGGGUGUACUUGGGAUUCUUCUCGAUUUUAUAUAUUUUUUUGUUUUUAUAUUUUUUUUCUUCAAUGUGUAUGUUUUUCUUUUCAUUUUUUUAUAUAAUUUGGUUGGGGUCUUUUAUGUAGCCAGCUCACGAGAUUGCCAGCUCAGCCUGUGGUUGCCGCCUCCGUGUGUGUAUGUGUUUUUUUUUCUCUUUCUCUCGCCCUCUUUUCUGUUUUUGGAUGGUCCUCUGUCACAGGGCAGUUUCCCAUAUUUGCUUUUAUCGAGUUUGAUAGAGGGAGAAAAAUACUACAUCCUUUUCAAAAUGUAACACUUUUUCAUAUAACGUUUGAUUAUUAUCUUAUUUAAAAAUUUAGUAUAAAUGUAAAAAAAUGACAAAUCGUGUUUAAAGUUCUUUUAAUAAUAAAGUAAGUCACGAGCAAAAUAAAUGAUAUUUUUAUAAUUUUUUAAAUAAGAGAAAUGGUUAAACAUUACAAGCAAAAAAAGUCAAACAUAGAAUAGUUUCGAUUUUAGGAUUAACCUGUCUAAAUGUUUGGAGAGAAACACUAGCUAUUACUCGUCUUUGUAGUUAAUUUAGCUUAUGCUAAAAUUUGAGAAGAAAAGAUUAUAAUACCUUUGUUAAAUAGCGUAUGGUUACGAGUAGUUAUGAGUAAUUAGGUGGUCAGGAGUAUGAUAGGAAAAUUAUGAACGGAAUGUGAUUAAUUGGAUAAGUUAUACUCUAGAAUGACAACUAUUUUGGGAGAAAUUUUGAAAUAAGCAUUUUGGGUCGGAGGUAAUACUUAUUAGCGAUGAAAAUUUGUAAAAUGGGUUAAAAAAAAUUAGUUAUGCCGAAAGAAGUUAUAGAACCAAUCUUUCUAUACGUCAAAGCAAGGGGCAAAACCAUAAUACUAUGUCCCCGUUAUAUAUUUUUGAAUUAUAAUUUAAGGGUAUAAAGAUCGAACUAACUGCUGCAAAAUUAAUAUUUUAUUUUACAAAAGUCGUAUGAAAACUUUUAUGUGCUUGAAAGGUGUGCCAACAAAAAAUUCAUAGUCUGCAUAGCAAAAUAACACAGCCCAUGUGUACAAAGAAAAGAAAGAGAAAAAUAAAUUGAUAAAAAAGGAUAACAUGUUACUAAAUAGACAAAUUUCCCCUGUGAAUUAAAUGAUAAAUCCUGAAAGUGGUGUGAAUUGAGUGUUCAACGGUGAAAUUUAUCGGGAAUAUGGAGCUAGUAAUUCCAGACGAAUGGCUACCUUUCAUGAUGAAUAACAUUUUCACUUUCUAACCAUUUGAAAAUGGUCGUAGAUUGAAAAAAAAGGGAAAUGGUGGCGUAAAAAAUAUGGAGUGGAAAUGGAAAUGAUUUUCAAAAUUAUUGUUUUGUUGGUAUAGAUGUUGUUUUCUUUUAUUUAUCGUAUUUUUCCAGAGAUUACUAUUAUUUGAUUUCUAAAUAUAGUAGAGUUCCAUCAAGCUCUCUCGCUGAACUUUAUUUUGAGUGCUGGACUCAAUGGGAGGCCAUUCACAAUUUGCAUAUAGCAUGUAAGAACUAAUAUUGUUAGAAUCAUCUAAGUGUUUUUGAUAAUGGAUAAGAUCAUCUGGCCUUUACUUCAACACAAGUUACGACCACUUAUUACAAGGUUUGUAACCGACACGAAGCAUUAUUACAAAAGUUUUCAAAGAAGACAAAAGGAAACUAACAGACAACAAAUUUGAGAGGAGAUACUAUAAAUGUAGGAAAGGCUAUCGUUGGUUCUCCAUCAAAAAUUGACGAACACUUGCAUAAUAGUCAUUUUGGCUUCUGCAUGCAUUAAAAAUAGAUCCUUAUCAUCUCAUCAUCACACAUUUGUAGAUGCGUCCAAAAACCGAACAAUAGGUCGCUAUGAAGAUUACCUGCAAAUAUGAUUUAACUAGAAUUUUGUUAAUAAAAAACAUAUCUAUCAUAGAGUGCACAAACAUAUUUUAAUCAUUCUACAUCCUUCAUGCAACAUUCCUCAAAUUCGACGAUAAAAUCAUCUUCAUAAGACCGGACGAAUAGGAUGGACUCCACUUCUCCCUAUGCAAGUUACAUAAUUGCCAUCCAUACUUGAAAACUUGUAAUUUAUUACAAUAUGGUCUAACCUAUAAUUAAUCGCGCAAAGUUACAAAAGUCACUAUUUGCUGGUGGUUUGCCGCUCUUUUGUCAGAGUUUGUUUAAAUAUUAGAUUAAUAAAUGUUUGAUAGAUAAAUAAAUCCGAAUGUUCGGUUUAUAUAUGAUUGCAUUUAAAAGAACUUAUAAGAAAGAAUUUAUAUUAUUAAAUUGAGCCAUGACGUUAGCACGGGUAUAGUACUAGUCAUUCCUAGUUAGCCACAGAGUCCAACCUAAAACAUAUGCUCCUACAAGUAUGGGUUUUUUACAAGUCCACCCCACUUAACCAAGUCCCAAACGUGUGUGAUACACUUGCGGGUGGAUUUAAGAAGUAUUAUGUGUGUAUAUACAAUUCCCUAAAGAAACUUAGCAAUAUGGCAUUCAAAGAAUAGAUGUAAGAUAGUCUCAUUAUGCAUACAAAAGCAACAUUUCAUAAUAUCGUUCCAAUUCUUUUAGCUAAAUUAUCUUUUGUUAAAAUAACUCAUUUAGACCAAUACCACGGAAAAACUCUAAUUUUGAGUAGUGGUUUCAAUUUCAAAAUCAAUUUAUAUAUUUCUGAGUAACCAUUAUUAAUUAAGGAUAAGUAUAUAGCAUGCACAUAGAAAAUUGACCAUUUUGGUAAAGAUUCCAUCUGAACAUAUCUUCAUCCUCAUCAAGCCUAAGAUGCACAAUUGAAGCAACUAGAUUAUGCCAUAAAGCGAGAUUCAAAAACACUAAAGCCCUUCUAAAGGACGCAUUUAAUGGAACGGAAUUAAGCAUAGUUAAAAAAAUCAUUUUUAUUUCGAUAUAUGUUCAUAAAGAAGGAUACUACACCAUAAAAGAAUCAUUACCGAUCCAAUGUCCUCCCAAAAUCUAAUCAGUUUACCAACACCAAUAAUAAAAGAUCCCAUACAUACAAACCUAUUUUUCACUUUCAUAACCCUAGAGAAAAAAAAAAUCCCCAUGCUUCUUUUGGACUUAUGUAAUCGUCUAAUUCUUGAUAUAUUUUCUCCUAAGUAAAUUUCACCCAAUACUAUCAUCAUUUAUCAGCCUAAACAACCAUUUACUCAGAAGACAUUGGUUUUAUAUAUACUCUUAACACCAAGACCAUCUUGAUCCUUAGGUUCACAAAUGAUAUCUCAUCUAGUUAAGUGCUUUUUUCCUUGUGGUUAUCGCUCUGCCAGCGAAAUAUAGAUAUAUAGUAAUCAAUCUUUUCUUGUACUCCUUCAAAAACUUCGAAAAAAGAGAUCAUAAACAUGGAAGCUUUCCUUUCCAACUACUUAGCUACUUCUCUAUUAUUCCUCUGAUAACCUUCCAAUCCUUAUUUGAAUGCUUCCUAAAAUUCAUUGGGAAUACAUAGGUUUUUUUAAAAAGUAUCGGUUUGACAUCCAAACAUUUGAGAGUAGUCUUGUUCAAAAUCCCUAGCCUGACCAAAUUAGAAGAGUUCACUCUUAUGAAAAAUUUCUUUGAUUCUGGAAAGUUUUUUCUCAAAGAUGGAAAGUAACAACUUCAAAUUUUUAGCACUCUCCAAAUCAUGUUCCAAAAAAAAUUAGAGUAUCAUCUACGUACUAUAAAAUUGAUAGUCUAUCACAAAAAAGAAAUGGCAAUACUCCAGUAAUUUGUCCCUCUUGUUUAGCACUCUGUAUUAGGAUAGCUAACAUAUCAACCACAAUAUUAAAAAAGAUUAAAGAUGAUUAAUCACCUUGUUUUAAACCUUUUUAGUUUGGAAAUUAGCACUCACUUGAUCAUUCACCUUAAUACAAAUGUGACCAACUUGAAUGAAAGAAGCAAUCCAUUGACACCACUUAGGUGAAAGUCUUUCAUUCUUAGGUCUAUAGUACAAAAGAUCACUUAAACUUAUCAUAGUUUUCUCAAAAUCAAUCUUUAAGAUAUAUAAUAGUGCUAAGUUAUAUAUGUGAUUUUAUAGCUUACAAUUACUAACAUAUUUCUUCCUAAUCGAUAUCGCCAUAUUUCCAUCUAAGUAGUUCCUUUUUAUUUAUUUUUCAAUUUUGUUUUUGUUUCCAACUUUAUCAUUUUCAAUGCAUUCCGAAAAACUAAUACUAUGAAAAUGAUUGAGAUUAGUAAGACAAGCUACCACGAAACAUUGUUAGAACAUCAACACAGUACCAUGACAAUAAAGUUUGUGUUCACCAUGUCAUAGUAACGUUAAUCAUAAGAUCGAUCAAGACUAUAGACUAUUAUUGUUGGACGUCCAAAUAGUCAACACAUUAACAAUAGCAUCAGAGAUAUAUCUAUGGUAAAUAAGAAUGAGUAUUUUGGGUUCUAAAAAUAUUUAGUUAAUUAGAACUGUAUUUUUAUGUUAAAUAAGUAAAUUUCUUAACGUAUCAAAUGAUGCAUCCUAGCAGAAUAUUUUUUAAUCACUUAAACAUACAUACACCCUCUAAUAAUAACGAACGAGAAUCACAACUAAUAGAAACAUCAUUAGUAAUUUCACUUUGUUAAAACAUUUUAUAUAUUUUCUAACUACAAAGAACUCGUGCGAUAUAUAUUUGCUUGGUAUUAUAUGAUCAUUUUAUAUUUCAUUUAAAUAUCUCUUUAUGUAAUAUAAAAAGACACAACAAAAUUUGUUUUGAAACUCAUAACAAAUUUAGACUUUUAAUUAUGUCAUGUUUGUAUAAAGUAGAUUUCAUUAAAUUUAAUUUUAUAGAGAUUAAAUUUUAUAUUAGUGUAAAUAAACCAUUUAAUUAAAAAAGAUUAGUGUAUGAAUUUGUUAUCACAAUAUUUCUGAAAUUAUUGUAUGAACUUGGACCUAUAGGUUCUUCAAUUACCGUCCAAACUUAAAAAACUUGUAAUUGCAAUGUGUAUCAAGCUAUAAUUAAUUAUGAAAAACUAUAAUAGUCACUAUUAACUUGUGGCUUGCUACUGCCUUCCCAAAGUUUGUUUAAAUAGUUAUAUUAACAAAUUAUUGACAGACAAAUAACUUCAAAUACUCGGUUUAUAUGAUUAUGUUUGAAAGAAUUUAUAAUAUCUUAUUUAUACUACUAAAUUAAACGGUAACGUUAGCGUGAAUAUAAUACUAGUAAAAGCUAUAUAAGCAUAAGGAUGCUAACUCAACUAACAAAAGGGAAGAGAGAAAGAUUAUGGCAAAUCCCAGGUCGACGUGAUCAACGAGCGCAAAUUGCACACGCGACCCACAGGAUUGGAACCCGUCCACUUGUCUUUUGCAAAAGUGUCCGCUAACUAAAAUACUACUUGUCCACCAAUUAAGUAUUCUUCCUGGCUCGUCGACCAAGUAGACUACCUUUGGUUUUUGACCUCUACUAAAGUUUUGUAAGAAAGUUGCUAUGCACACCAUUAUAUUUGACAAAAUUUUGUUUGGCAGGCAUCGACCUUUGUGUUACUUGGGAAGUGGCUUAAAUGCUUAGAUACUUCUGAAUUUGUAGCGUGUAAAAAUUACCAAAAUACAACCUUGGUAAGAUUUUCUAGACUUUAUCUUAGAUUCAUCCAUUCAUUAUAUAUACUAUUUGAAUAUAUAUAUAUAUAUAUAUUUAUUAGCAUCCAUAUAAAAUCUAGACAAGAUUAAAAAGUUUUAUAUUGUAAAAUAAAUGAAGUACAUUUUUACCCAUAAAUUGAACUUUGACCGGAAAUAAUUUAACACAUAUACAUAAUUAGUAGUAUAACUUUUUAUUUCAAAUAUAUAUUAUUCUGGUAUCAUGUAUAUGUUGGAUAACUACCUAGAUCGUUUAAGCUACGGCUGAUAAGUUUAAUAAAACAAAGCAAAAAAAACAAUGUGUAGAUAAAACUCUUUAUAUUUUUAUUGGUAGAAUUCUAAAAUCCAAUGCUGAAAAAUAUAUUAUGAUUAAAACUCAAAAUAAAUCUAAAAUUCUGUUUCAAACGCAAAACACCCCUAAAACAUAUCAUUUAUAAAGCUUCGAGCCCGCGUUUUCUCCCCCAUCCUUUCUAACCAAUAAGAAGUUAUUUCCACAUUUUCAGGUGUAACUUGGGCCAAUCUUAAUCGAGAUUUCAUGAAGAUGUCAUAUACAUUAAUUAGGUGACACAUCGGCACAAAUGAAAAUAUUUGCAUGAAAGUAUGAUGAGAGAGAAGGAAUUAGUUUUAUAGCCAUAAAACCUUUGGGCACCGUUAUAAGUCCUUGGUAACGUAGUGAAACUUGCAUUGAGACGCUUGAGACGUUUCAUGCAAACAAACACUCUCUACAUGCAAUUAAACUUUUAACAGUAAUUAAAUGCUUUAUUUAGUUUUGAAAAUAGUACAAUGAAACGUUACACUAUGAGUAGAUGUUUCAUCGUUUCAUCGAGUUAGCUGUUUUAUAAACUGUAUAGUAAAACUGAUCCUUGAGGCUGGCCUUAAGAGAGGGCAUUGACUAGUGAGUGAAGGGAAUAAAGUCAAAUGGAUAGUUAUACUCUCUUUAUCUCUAAAUGUUUAACAUCAUUGACUUUUUUAAACAUGUUUGAUCAUUCGUCUUGUUCAAUUUUUUUAAAAAAUAUAUAAAACUAUAUAUAUAUACAUAAAAGUAUACUUAACAAUAAAUCAAAUGAUAUAAAAAUAAUUAAUAAUUAUGUAAAUUUUUAAAUAAGACGAAUGGUCAAACGAACCUAAAAAAGUCAACGGCGUCAAACAUUUAGGGACGUAGUAUUUAUAUAACCAAAUCUCAAGGCAGGCGACCUGAUGCUCCACGUGGCAAGCAUCCGACGGCCUGACCACCGCGGGGUGGUGAGGUGUACCGCGUUGGGCCGCACGUGCAGGGAGCAUGCGCCUGCACCUGCGUACGUGCGCCGGAGCUCUUCACGCCUCUCCAGUCGCGUCGCCAGUCGCCACCCUGCAGCUAGUGCAACAAUUACUUUAUAUCUCUGAAAUAUAAUUCUGAAAUAUAAUGUGCAGAGUAUAUAUCGUGCUUGAUUAACAAUUUCCUCUAUAUUAGAAUAUAUUUUUAACGCAAAUUUGAUGUUGUUAGAUUCGUGUUUCAAAAGUAUUUCAUUAAGAUUAUGCUUUUUUAUAAUAUAUAUAUAUAUAUAUAACAAUGUUUGGCACCGUUAACUUCGAAUAUUAGAAUUUGACCAUUCAUCUGUACCAUACUAAAAAGACUACCACUAGAGUGAAUGACGUGUGGGCCCCUUCUGUCAGUGUAUAACAACUCUUCACCCUGACUAGCGAUUAAAAAAUCCGUCGCUUGCCAAUCUCGCCACCACCCCUCUUCUCACCGAGCCGCGCCCUGGCAUUCUGUGCUGCGCCGCCGAAGCAUGGCCCUUGACACUCCUUUUCUCCGCGCUUCCGCCGUCCUCGCAUGCAUCGCCAGCGGAGGAAGGAUGGGGCCAGGCCGACGGAGGGAGGACGGCGCCAGCGGAGGGAGGCGCGCCACCCCGAGCCUCGUGAGCCACCGCGUCGAUCCGCCACCCUGACCCAUCGGUGAAGGUGAGCUGGCGAGCGGGCAGACACCGGCCGCGAAGGGCAUGGAGCAGCGUCAGCCAAGAAACGUUGACGACGUGGGUGGCCGACGCAGGCGACGAAAGGAGCAGAGGAGGCGCGGCGACCAACGCCGACGCUGGCGGCGGAGGCGCGGAGUGGAGAGAAGGGCAGUGAAGGCACAGAGUUGAGAGGAGAGGGGCGGCGGCGACGGCUGGGAGUGGGUGGAGAGAGGAGAGAGAAGAGAGGGGAAAGGGUGAGGGUAUAUAUAUGUUGUAAGUUGUUGGAUCUAUUGGGACAAAUUUACUGUAAAUUUACAUUUGAGGGCCCAUGGGCCUCUUCUUUUAAUUGAUGUUCAUGGUAUAUACACCAAAAGAUGGUGGGAUUAAUAUGCUAAUAUUGGUAUUGACAUAUUAAUGAUAUUUUUAAAAUAUAAAAUCCCGUUGCAAUGCAUGGACAAUUUGCUAGUCUGAUUAAAAAUUUAUAACUAUAUACAUUUAGUGUAGUUAUAUUUUUGCAUGCUCGUAAUUUUUUUAUAAAACGAAAGGUCAAAUAUAUGUUUAAUAGUCAAUGGAGUUAAACAUUAAUAAAACCAGCGAGGGUAUAAUAAAAUAAAAUUGAAGGGGCACUUUAUCAUUUAUUUUCUUAAAAGAAAGACUUUUGUUAUCAAACCGUCGCCUAACAGGUGUGGCCCACCGGCCAUACAUGCAAUGCACGAGGCAGGCCAGCUCCUCCGGUCAUCAUAAUACAUAUCUACCAUGUAAUGGCCUGGAUAUGACACGAUUGCGUGCUACUACUGUUGUAUUGUAUUCUUCUUUUUUCCCCCAAAAAACUGUCCCACUAAUAAUGUAGCAAAUUAAUAGCUUUGUUUUAUCAGUGAUAGUUUAUGUCCUAUAUAUUAACUAGCUGAACGACUAUGUUUUGCAAAGGGUAAAAGCAUAUUAUGUUAUUCCUAAAAUAAAUAAAUAAAUAUUUUUCAUUAAAUAUGUGACCAUAUUUUUUAUAUAGGAAAUAUCCGUAUCAAUUUGAUUUUAUGUGGAUAUCAUCAAGAUUUUAUUGAUUUUUAAUAUUACGAAGUUAAGGUGGUAAAUUAUAAAAAUGCAAUGAAAAUAGGUGGUGGUGGCAGAUGCAUCAGUAUAGGUUUUUAUAGUAGUAAAGAUAAAGAUAUACUCUAGUAAUUGCUAGGAUUCCACUCGCUCCUUACAUUAAAAGUCUGAUCAUAGAUUAUUACAUCUAUUGUAGAACCAGCGUAUCCGAUCGAACUUCUACUCUUUACACUAGAGUCGGAAACUUGGUCGCAUUUGUAAACAAUAGAAUCGCCGUCCUCAAAAAGAAUUUUAGCAUUGGAUGGUCGGGACUUAGAAAUGAAUGUGAAACUGGCAGCAGGCGCAUCAAAGAAAGAAAUCUGAGAGGGGAGGUGGACAUGGUUAAUUAAUUAACUAGCUAGCUUUUUAUUCAGUGGUUGGUCAAUUUUGUAUCUGAAAGUUAAAUUAAUUUACAUUGCACAAGAUCCAAGCGCAAGCUGGAAGUACCGAGUGAUGUGACAGUCCUAGAAUGUGUGUGUGUAUAUAUAUAUACCCCAUGUAUGGUCCCCGUUGGUGCUGUGUUAAUUUCGAGAACUUCGAUCGAUAUAUACGCAUGAACGACACAAUCACCGCCCACGGUGGAUGUAUAUAUGGUGCUGCUCGUGCACCCAACCAUAUAUAUGGGGUAUACCGAUCAAAUCUUGUAUCAUUGGAGGCUGAGGUUCAGUAUUUUCGUUUCUUUUUAUGUUUAUAAGCUAAAAUUUAUAUUUAUAUUUUUAAAUUUAAAGUUAGUUUUUGGCUUUUUUAACGCAGUUUAUUUUUUUAUUUUGCUCUUAGAUUGCUAAGAAUAUUCUAAAACCAAGUUUUAUUCGUAAAUUAUUUUUUAUUUGUGAGCUUACUGUUACUUUUUUUUUCCUAAAAAAUCCAACCGAUUACCGCCCUCACAUAUCAACUAAUUUUCUCUAAAAAAAUGCUACGUUUUAGUCCUUUCAUCUAAACAUAUAGCUAAUUUUAUCAUUCAAAUUUAUCAAAAAGGAUACUUCUUCUUCACUUACGUUAUCCUUUCAAUAGAUUAUAACUUUAAUUCCUCAAAAAAGACAUCUCGAUACUGAGGUAUUAUUACUAUUGCAAUAAGAUUCAUGCUAAGCCUUAAUAAUCUAACUCCUACUAUCUGACUACACCAUACCGUCAUUGCUCUCUCCACAAAAAUGUACAUGCUAUCACCCUUCGUGUCAAAAGUACCCAGCUAGCACCAUCGAGAUCGUCCAUGCCCUCCCUAACAACCUCCCUCCUCUUGCUCUCGUAGAUCUGCAACAUCACCCAUCGCGUUCACCAUUAUCUUCUAGCCUAGCACCAUCCUCUGACCCAUCUUCUCCCUCAUCUCCGACGAGCUCACAACGAUAGAUACACUGUCGUUGUUGUGUCCACCACCCUCCUCUGUCCAUACCACUCCAGCACCCUACCGUUCACUGCUAGUUUUUCACCACCUAACUAUCAUUUUAAAGCUACGUUGAUCAUUCCUACACUCUCCCACCUGCUCCAACCCCAAAACCGUAACGUGACGUAGCCUAUUGAAGUUCAGAUGUGGCUGCCACGUACUAAACCUCGCUAAGGAAAUAUUCACCGUGACUGGUGGUGAGUCAUUAUCUCCUUCCUCCCACUCAGUUGGAGGUGGAAGACAAUGUAUGAUAUGUUGGAUAUUGACCGAGUGCCACUCGUCACUCGUACAGUCACGCUAUUGCAUAUGCCGUUGCUCCCUACUACGGCCAUGUUCUUUGUUAGGUUUAGUAACCGGCACGAAGGGGCGGAUAGCCCCCCUAGCCUCUCUAUGUCAUUGAAGCCCCUACUUAGCCCAUGCAAUAAAAUUUCUGAUAUUACUGAAGAGAAGGAAUGGCUAGAAGUAAUUCUUUUUCGUCCAGCCCCUUCUAAUAUUUUUUCUGGAUCCGCUACUGCCGGCACGAAAAACCAUAGUACAAGAUUAAUAUAUAUAGUUAAUUAAUAAUUAGUUAUAAAACAUAAAAAAUAGUUUGAUGUCAUAUUUUAAAACAAGAACCUAUAGAACACUUUUACUAAAGACACCGUUUGAAAAAAUGCAGUUGGAAAACUAGAGAAUACAGAUGAGUAGCAAGUGGAGAAGAACUCUUGCCUACAUAUUCUCCCUCCUCAUUGUCGUAGCUCCCCCUCUCUGCCCAACUCAUUUAUACAUAUAUAAAACUCUCAUACAAAAUUGUUCGAUCUGUUGCUAAUCAUGCAUGCGCGUACGUACGGCAACAACCACGGAUAUGAUGCUUAAUUUGCAAUCGGUGCGAAGAAAGGCGUCAGGCAAACUGUCGCAUCGUUUUUAAUUGCAGGGUUAGUUUGAUUCAAAUUCAUAAGAUGUCGUCAGUUGCAGCUGCAAACUAAUCAGAAAGUGACGGGUCGGACGAUCGAGAUCGAUAGGCUGGCUGGUAAUCUCGAUCGACAGGAUUGAUCACGACCUAUACACAAAUCAAAUUGGAUUUAAUGAAUUGCUUGUUAACACGUACUGCUAAUUAACUAACUAAUGCUACGAAUCAAUCAAGUGGCAGCCAAGUACAGCCAGCGGCAGCGAUCGAUAUGAGUGACCCCCCCCCCCACAGUACUUUUGCCCCUCUUUUUAAGAAAAAAAAAAGAUCGGGGCAAAUUCGUUUCUGUCGCUGGUUCAGAUUCUAAUACUGAUUUUAUCUUUUUUUGGUUUUCGUUUUUGCGCUUACUUUUUUAAAUUGAACGAACCGGUUGCCCCUCCUUUGAAUGAAGGACUAACGGUGUUAAAUGACAUGUUAAAUGACUAUUUUACCCCUUACAAGAAUAUCAUUUUGAUCUUUUUUGUCAUUUGUGUUGUUACAAAUGACAUGUUUAAAAACUUAUAGUUUUUUAAAAAUAUUUGACAGAGUUUCAAAACUAUGUCAAAUUUUUUUAAAAAAAUUAUAAGUUUUAUAGAAAUAUACAAAAGCAAUAUAUUAUUAGUUCAAAUGUUUAAAAACUUAUAAUUUUUAAAUAGGGGUAAUUUCGUCAUUAAUUAUUUGAGAAUUAAAUCUUUUAUUUUUUUAAACUAAGUAUAUUGGUCAACUAACGGUCAACGUAACGUCCAUCCAAAAUAGGGGCAAACGGUUCAUUCGGUUAAAAAAAGAGGGACAAAAACGAAAACCCUAAAAAAAUGAGGGAUAAAAUCAAUAUUAGACUUGAAAAUCAGGGCAGGAACGAAAUUGUUCCAAAAAGAUUUUAUAUUUUGCCCAUGACCAUACCGACACUUAGACUACAUUUAAUUUGGGUGGUUAAUUAAUAUGAGGGUAAUAAUGAUAACCCUUUGUUUCCUAUAUAGUUAAUUAGCAUGAGAGUCUGGAUAUUAUUUGUAUCUACUUUGAUAGCUCGUUCCUAUUUAAAUUUUGACUGUUCGUGCUUCUUAGAUAAGGGAUUAAAACCCGGUCUCUAUGUCCAACCCUCCCAUGUCUCUGUCCAUGCAUGGAGUGCAUGAUUAAGUCACAAAAAUUAAACAAUGACUUGACCAGUACCUGAGAUGUAAGGAUUAAUGAAUAAUAUUGUUGACUUUUUCCGAUCAAACUAUUAAAAUUUUGACCGUAAAUAGCUCUUUAAAAUAUUCGGGUUUUUAUUUAAAAGUACCUUUACAGUAUAAUAAUUUUGUUGGAUAUUUUCAUUGCCAGUGGCAUGUUGGUGCAUCGUAACGAGCCAUAUAAUUAGGUCUAUAGCGGAAUAUUGCAAUAGGUCAUAUAACGAAGGAUAUGCCCACGUUAGACUCAUAGAGAAAUUUAACAAACCGUUUAUUUCUGAUUUUGCUGGGAAUCGAUGGUGCCAUGCCAAGAAGGAAAAAAAAAGAAGACAAAUAAUGACUAUAUAUUUUUAAGUAGGAGAGAGAUAUUUUGUUUGAAUAGAUAUAUGUCUUAAACUAGCUAGUCCUAAUAUAUCAUAAUUGAAGUUGAAGUUAUAUUAAUUAGAGCAUAGGGGUAAAGUUCGUACCGGGCUCUAUAACCCGACAACUAAGUGAUGCAUUACAAUAUAAUCAUAGUGAUGUAGCACCGGUGCGCACAGAAAGAACGACGGUGAGACAUGAACUCGAGGAGGCUUUAGACAUUACAAUAUAAUCAUAGUUAUGUUGAUGGGAAAGAGAAAACAUGCAUGAUCCGAGCCCGGGGAUUAGGCUAGGCUUUCGCGAAAACUCUUGACAAAUAUUGUUUGUUCCUAUAUCGUUCUGACGUACAUCAGCAAGGUUAGUCGUUGUUUCUCCAUAUCAGCUAACUUUUAUAAACAAAAAAUUAUAAUUAAAAAAAUAUUUGUCAAAAUUAUGUAUCAAAGACCGAAAGGAAUUAAUAGUGUCAUGUAUUUAAACAUCGAUAGACAUUUUGAUCAAAUUAUCAAAAGUAAAUAUUUAAAAACGUGCAUUACAAACUAUAGAUUCAGCAUCAUUAUUUUUUCAUGAAACUAUAGAUUUAAGACAUUGUCACACAGAACUAUAGAUUUAAUAUCCGUUUUAUUUAGAAAAAAUAUUGCUAAAAUCUAAAGAGUAAAAUAUGUAUGUAGUUCUUUUAUAAAUUCAUCGAUAUAUGUAUUUUUUGAUAAAUUUAUGCUAAACUUUAGUUUUAUGAUACACAUAUUUAAAUAUAUAGUUUUAGGAUAUUUUAAUUAGUCUUGUAAAACUGAAUCUAAAAACAAACUGAGUUAAAAAAAUUACUAAACGAUGCAUUUUUUACAAAAAAAUUUCUAUAGAAAAGUUGUUUUUAAAAAAUCAUAUUAAUCUAUUUUAUUUUUUUAAUAAUUAAUAAUUAAUUAAUCAUGAACUAAUCUAUUACUACGUUUUUCAUAAUUAGCCAUAAGUGCUACAGUAACCUAUGUGUGCUAAUAACGGAUUAAUUAGUUUCAGAAGAUUCGUCUCACAGUUUCUAGACGAGCCGUGAAUUCGUUUUUUUUAUUCGUGUCCAAAAACUCUUUCCGAUAUCCGAUCAAACGUUUAAUGUGACAUGCAAAAAUUUUUAUUUCCCCAACUAAGGUAGUGUUUGGGACAAGUGACUUAUUUUUAGUCCCUUGUCCCAUCAAAAUAUAUGAACACUUAUUAUAAAUAGUAAAUAUAGAUUAUUAAUAAAACUCAUUCAUAACCUUGGACUAAUUCGCGGGACGAAUCUAUUGAGCCUAAUUAAUCCAUAAUUAGUCUAUGUGAUGCUACAGUAAACAUACUCUAAUUAUGGAUUAAUUAGGCUUAAAAAAUUUGUCUCGCAGAUUACCACUCAUUUAUAAAAUUAGUUUUUUUAUUAGUCUAUAUUUAAUACUUCAAAUUGGUGUCUAAACAUUCGAUGUGAUUUUAACCCUAUCUAAACAACUCCUAAACACCCCCUUACGAUCUUUUUGAGCAAGUUUAAUAGUAUAGCCAGCUACUAGUUAUAAAUCAGCUAUAGCCAAUCUAAUAGUUAAUUCAUACAAUAGUUAUCUAUAAAACCUUAAUACAAUGUCCUAUAUGUCAUACACACACUGUGUCUUGGAGUCCGUGCUACAGUUGGCUAUAAAGUAAUAACUCACUACUCUUCUCUCUUAUCUCUUACAUCUUUAAAAUAUGUUUAUAACUGAUUUAUAUGUUGCUAUGGUAUCUGCUCUUAACUGGUAUAUAUAGAUACAUAGGUACUACGUGUCACUUUGCGUCUGAUUGGCGCUGCUAAAUGCGUGGAAGCAAGUGAUCGAUCUAAUCCCUCAAAAGCUGUGCCCUCUUGAUCCAACGUGCAUCAUAAUAUGAUGCCAAUUGCUUGCAACAAAGCGUGCACCUAGUAGCUUACUUUUGCUCAACAAACUUCUCCAUUUUCCACACCUAUAUCCUUUUAGCUAUAGCUAAGCUAGCCCUAACCACAAAGAAAAAUUGCACCAAAUUAAGAGGAAAAACGUCAAAGUAUAUACAUAAGCAUACAUAAGGCGCCCAUCUUUUUAUUUAUUAGAGAAAUAAACGAAACAAUAUAUUUAUAAACGAAAAAUAAUUUGUGGAUAAAAUUUUUUAUACGCGUGUCCUGAACGAUCUAAAAACCAAACCUGAAAAAUAAACUAUGAUGAAAAACAUCAAAAAUCAACACUAAUUUAUGGUUAAAAAUUUAAAUUUUGGUUUAUGAGUAUAGGUAAAGAGAAAAGACGAGAGUGAUAUAUGCUUAGCCAUGGUGAUACCAAAUUCAAGAAAAAACGUGGAAUAACUUCACGACGUCUAGAUGAUCCUAAUUUGUGAAAUACUCAUCCAUCCAUGAAUGUAAGUAUUUUCUUUUAUCCUUUAAGACCCACGUGUACAUAUCAAUAUAAAAAUAGAAAGCUUAGAAUAUGCUCUACAUUAUCAAAUCUCAGUAUACUUUGUCCGCUUCUUUAUCUACUUCCAAUGUAUUUGUUUUCUACUAUCACAAAGUAUAAUAUAAUAACUCCUUAAAGAUAAAUUUAUUUUGGGACAAACAAUAAGGCAAAACGUUGGUGCUAUUUUAGAAGAACAGAUGCAGUGAAGAUUAAGGAGAACGAGAAAAGUAACGAGGGCCACGUUCGCCCCCGCCCAUUAGUUAACUUACCUCUCUCGUUUUCAACGCGCACACUUCCCAAACAGCUAAACGAUGUAUAUUUUUUGUAAAAAUUUCCUAUAUAAAAGUUAUUUUAAAAAAUCAUAUUAAUCUAUUUUAUAUUUUUUAACAAUUAAUAAUUAAUUAAUCAUAUACUAAUCUAUUACUACCUCCGUCCCAUAAUAACCUCAUUUUUCGUUUUUCUGUGUCCAACAUUAGAUCAUUCGUCUUAUUUAAAAUUUUUUGGCGAAUAAUAUUUUUAUUGUUACUUGAUGAUAAAAUAUGAAUAGUACUUUAUACGUGACUAAUUUUUUUAAGUUUUUGUACAAAUUUUUUAAAUAAGACGAAUGGUCAAACGUUAGACACGGAAAAACGAAAAAUGAGGUUAUUAUGGAACGGAGAUAGUACUAUAUUUUCCGUAUCAGGUAAGUUAACAUACCACCCCGUCUUGCCGAACGGGGCCUAGGUCAGCUCCUGAUUGGCCAUGAGGAAGGUGGUGGGAGAAAUUUUAAUGAUGACUAUAUCCUAAUUUGUGAAAUACUAUAAAAAUGCAUGUAUUUAUGUACAAAUUGGAAAAUGUAUGAAUGCCUGUAUUUAUGUAUAAAUUGGAAAAUGUAUGAUUGCUUAUAUUUAAGUACGAAAGGAUUACAUGCAUCACCCUAACUGACAUGUUAGUAUACCAAAAACUGCUAGCUAGCAUCUAUAUAUAUAUAUAUAAAGUGCGUGAUACAGAGAUCAAAAGCACGUUUAUCUAUGGUGGUAUAUAAUGUGAUUUUGCAAGUUGAGAAGCUUAUCGUUGAAUUUACGAUCAUUGAAUUUGCAUUAGUCUCUCUUAUGGGGUGCAUUAGCAUUAAGGAUUCAACGGUCUCUGCAAGAAUAGUGAUCUCCAACACACAAAUUAAUUAGUAACUAAUUAACGUCAGAGUGGUCUCGAUGGAUCGAAGAGGAUGACGAUGAUAUCUAUCCACAACUUUUUUGACAAGUCGCAGUAAACCACCAAUUACAGGGAUGAGGUGAGAAAGAACAAUUCUAAAGCCAAAACUUUUGGAUCGAUCGGAGUAUGCUUUUGCUAGUCAUCAAACAUCAAACAGAUGACACAAAAUAUAAUAAUCAAAAAAUUAGAGAGAGAGGGAGAGAGUAGGACGCAAGCAUGCAUACUUCUCUAGAAGCCCUUGUGUGCAUGCGUGGUGGAGGCCGGGAUAUGCUUAAUUAUGCCAAUAUUCCAAAACAUGCACUAAUUAAAAACAUAUAUAUAUUUAUAUUAUAUAUGAACGCACAUGGUCUAGCUAGCUACACAUCGCUACUACCACUAUAACCCUCUUUGAAAGGUAGGUUUUGACAAGACCUAAAGGCUCAAUUAACGCCAUAAUUAAGAGUGACUGAAAUAAGGAUAUAAUUAAUCGAGCUUUAAAAAUUGCCAAGUUAAAUAACAUACGCUUAAGAUAUAUAGAGAAGAUCGAAAAAAAAGUGAGCUAUACAUUUAUAAUAAUCCUUUGUAGCAAUAUAUUUAUACUGACUGUCGUACUGACUAUAGAUAAAGUAUUAUUUUACAGAGAUAUGGGCAAUUUCGUUAUUACUCCUGUUUCGAUCUCUAAUACUAAAUUUAACUCUUUUUUUAGGGUUUUUAUUUUUACCCCUAUUAUUUUGAACUCAAUCCAUAUGUUGCUCCUGUUUUGGAUGGAGUAUACUAACGGUGUUAAGUUAGUCAUUAAAGUAGCAUUUUACCCUUUGUCGAAAAUUUUAUUUUUAUCCAUGUAUUCUCGAUGGUGCUUCUAUUGAUAUGCAUACACCGUUGUAAUUUAGAACAUAGGGCAAAACUGCACAUGAUAAAAUAUAAAAGAAUAAAAAUAAAAUUUCUAACAAAGAGUAAAAUGGUACUUUAAUGGCCAGUACCAUCCAUAUAAAAGAGGGGCAAAUUAUUGAUUCAGUUAAAAAAAAUAGGGAUAAAAAUAAAACCCUAAAAUGGAGAGUGUAAAAUUAAUAUUAGAGAUCAAAAUAGGGGUAAAGACAAAAUUAUCCCAUAAAUAUAUGUUCCAAUAAACUAUUAUCUGAUCCAACCCUUGGACAACAUAUCAACCAUGCAUUGCAUGCAUGCAUGGAGCGUCUACACGUCGCUGUCUUAUCUGCAUCGAUCGGUAGGGCUAACUGUGAAAUGGUUUGGUAUUGCAUGCUUUGUCUUAAUUUGUUAGGCCUUGAUCCAAUCCAAUGCAAUUAAACGAUGAGCAGCUAUAGCACACAGGUCGGCGCGUCGUAUACAUCGAUCUAUUUUGACUGCUCUCUCUUGGAGACUCUGCCUAUCUAUUUAUGUAUAGUAGCCAGCUUAACUAAUUCUUUUCUUCACCGCGUGGUAGUUCACGAUACUAUUAAUCACACGAUUCAAACGUGUGCAAAACAAAUAAAAAAUUGAUUGGUCAUCUAUUUGAGAACGGAAGCAAGUAUAUAUGAGCGAUUUGGUGUGAUUCUUUGUCGUCGUGUAAGACUGUCUAUGAAAGAAUUAAUGGGUUGAGAAGAAAGCGAUUGGGAGAGCUACGCAUGCAUACCAAUCAAAUUGAUACAGUAUGCUAUAGGACGAUCUUAGAUAUAACAAGGUCUGUUUAGCAGAGCUUCAACUCUUAAAUAAAUUCUAGAAGUAAAAUCCAAAGUAAAGCUAUUGAAGUAUGGAACUGCUCGAAUAUAGCUAUAUCUCUCUAGUUUAUUUUUUUUAUUUAUAUUACUCUAGGGUUGUUCCACUCCCUUUUUUUAUAGAGUUGAAGCCGUUUGAUUGAGCUCUAGCUCUAAAACAGGUGAAGCUAGAGUUGAAGUUGUACCAAUCAAGCCCUAAGUAUUGAUAUAGAUUGUAGAUCUAGGUUUCAUUCUGACCAAUUAUCGACGAUCACUGGGUUUUACCACAUGUAUUUGUUUUAAAUUAAAAUGAAAUCGUUUGGAUUGAUCGUACAUUAGCAGUUUUAUCUUUUCAUUUCUUGUUAUGCUUAUAAGCCAAAAUUUUAAUUUUUAAUUUUAAAUUUAGAGUUGAUCUUGGGUUUUUUCAUCGUGGUUUAUUUUGCAUUAUUUGCUUCUAGAUCGUCAAGAACACGUAUAUAAAAUUUCUAUUCAUAAAUAAUUUUUCUUUUGUAGAUAUGUUCUUAUGUUUUUCCUCUGAAAAAGCGAAAAUAUGACCACCCCAGCUAUAUAUCCACCGGCGGCUCAAAAGCUAUUAACCGGCCGGGUGCCGCCGAGAUUUUUGAUUCUUGUACACCAAUCAACUCCAAUAAUUUACUGUUGCAAGUGUAGCUGAUGUGAGGCUCCUUUCAACGCAAGCAUGGUUAACUAACUAAAGACCACACAUCAUAUAAUUAAAUUAACCAAUUAAUGGCUUUGUGAAAAAGAAGAGGGCAUCUUUCAUUGUCAUUUUGGGGGAAUUGGAUUCAGGAUAAGCAAAUUAAAGCUACGUUAAUUGCGCCUCCUUCCCAUGUUUAGGGUAUUAGAUUCUCUGUGAUUUAAUUAGUUCAAUUCACUACUGCAAGACGUUAUAGGAAAAAAGAACAAAAGGAAAAGAAUGGCUAGAAAAGCCACUAGAAUGGUGUAGGCGACGUGUUCAUUCCCUAGUCCACAAACAUGCACGUAAUUAAAUACAACGAAAUAUAUAUAAUGUUCAAUUUCAUCAAUCAAGUUGUUUUCUUGGCAUUGUUCAGGGGUAUCUAACUUGGUACUCCUUCUAUAUCAAAGUAUAAAUAUUUUUAAUAUGUUUAAUAGAUUUAGGUUGAGAAGAAAAACUUUAGGCCCCCUUAAUAAAGGAGGGAUAUGAUAGGAGGGGAGUGAUAGGUGUGAUCUAUGCUUCUUUAAAAAUAAUUAGUGACGGUGAGAGUGAAUCUGUGACCACACGUACUCUCAUUAUGAAUUUAACACAUUACCCUUGAACUUCUUACUAUUAAAAAACAAUCAAAUUCAAAAGGACAACUGCAUAUGACAUCAUCGAGUUAGGUUUGAAUAUUGCUUAAAGAAAAAACGAUGGGUAACGCGUAAUACGAAAAUAUAUUUUUAUUUAUUUUAGAUAAUAUUAUAAUAUAUUUUCUUUUAUGCAUAGCAAUACAGGGGUAUUAAGCUAGUAGUUCUACAAAUGCUUACAUUGCAUGUUGACCAAGAUUGAAUUUUAUAAAUGUUUAUAUUUUAAAUAAAGAGGAUAUAUUUAUUUUAUAAGGAGUAUUUAGUUUUAAAAAUGUUAAAUACUCCCAUGGAUUCUUCAGUUCUCACACAAGAAAGUAAUAAAACAAUUGCCCAUUAUAAAAAUAAUAACACAUGGGCCUGCAUGAAACUGCAAAGGUUUUGCACACUUACUAGUAGCUGGGCCAGCAAAAAAGUUGAGCCCAACAAAGGCCCAUAAAGAAAAGCCCAUCUCUGGCCUUGCUGCGUGCUAAUCUUCACAUCUCCUUGGGACACGCCUUUCUGCAUUUUUGUAACAGGGGUACUAUUUUGAUUUUAGAUACGUGAUUCAUUUCAGCCUUCGAUUCAAAUAAACUAAAGACGAUUAUCAUAAACAUUACAUGUCAAAACGACUGAAAAUUACAAAAUUAGUUUGAUGGCAGCCGACGAGAACUAACUGGAAUGGCAGCGCAAAGAUUGAACCUAAUCCCUUACCCAUGGUUAACGAAAAUAUAAUCCCUCCGUUUUUUUAUCUGACACCGUGAAUUUCUGAUUCUUUUCUUUUCAUAACCAUUCGUUUUAUUCUAAAAUUUUAUAUAAUUAUUUAUUAUUUUCUAUGAUUUGAUUUAUACUAAAUAUACUUUAAACAUUACUUAUAAUUUUACAUAUUUAUAAAAAAUCUUAAUUAAGAUGAAUGGUUGGUAGAUCUAAAAGUCAGUAGUCGCGUUAAAUAAAAUAAAUCGAAGGAAGUACAAAAUUUGUGGGUUGUUAGUUCUCGUCCUUCUCAGACCUUUACGGCCGGGUUUCAAGGUCAAAACCAGCGGAGAACCUGUAAUAAUCGAAGUUGCCUUGUCCUUUUGAGAUAUGUCGUUGCCUGUAUUCCAUUUGAACCCGACAUUUGCAAAUAAAACUCACGAAAACUCCUGACCAUUUAGGGCACGUAUAAAGAUGCCUAUUACUCUCUUAAUCGUCACGUAAGCAAAUUUGGUGAUAUGAAGGAAAGAGAAGGAAGGAGAGAGAAAAGCCGUUGCUAUGCAUGACAACGGCUUGGAGUCGACUGUUAGCAUUUAUUAAAUGAAACUUUCUUGUAUGAGAAUGUAUAAAAAGGAAACUAGCUUAAUAAAAAAUAUUUUAUUAAAUUAAUGAAGAAACUACACCUGACUUUACCUUUAUACGUAUUAUUAUAAAAUAUACUCUUGUUGCUGACGUGGCUUAAAAUAGAGUCCACAACGGGCUCUACCUUUAAACAUGCUCUUAGCCGAUCAGAUUUUCACAACACUGAGUACUACUGCCACCUCUUUCUUGAUUUAUGGUAUCCCUGAUUUUACUAAUGUAAUUGUGUUGGUAGCUGCGGUGAUUGUUUGGUUUUUUCAGAUAAAAGUUAAAUGAUAUAUUUAUAAAUAAAAAAUAAUUUGUGAGUAAAAUUUUUUAUAUAUAUGUUCUUAGCGAUCUAAAAGCUAAGUCAGAAAAAUAAACUAUCAUAAAAAACUUUUAAAAUUAACUCUAAUUUUAAGGUUAAAAAAUUAUGUUUUGGUUUAUAGACGUAAGCAUAAGCGAAAUAUAAGGCGAUGUUUACCACAGUAUCGAAUCUUGGGUGUGCUUCAGCUUGUUAGGCGAUUUGUUUAGGUGAUUUAUGUAACUGUCGCAAGCCGCAUUUUUCUUCUCUCUACCUCAACAUAAAACUAUGUUACCUUGACAGGAGAAAAUAAAACCUGACAAAUUAACCUUUCAUCGUAUUGGCCAGAAGCUUCCGAGAAAUAAAAACAUGACAAAUUAACUCCUCCGUCUCAAAAUAAAAUAAUCUAGUAUUGAAUUAGAUAUAUCCCAGUAUUAUAAAUCAACAUAAACCCAACCAAAUUCGCAUUACUAAAAUAUAUCUAAUUUAUAACGAGGUUUAAAUGUUUUGGAACGAAAUUAGUACGGGCGAAGAAGCUUCUACAACCUGAGGCGAUACACGCUCUGACGACGCAACAAGUGGCCGGAGGCAGGCACAGUAAUACUCCCUCCGUCCCAAAAUAAAUCAAUCUUUUAUUUUUUACCUACGAUGUUAAUUCUUCAUUUUAUUUAAAAAAAUUAUAAUUAAUAUUUUUAUUUUUAUUAUAUGAUAAGCCAUAAAUAGUACUCUACGUGUGACUAUUUUUUUAUAAUUUCUUUAAAAAAUUAAAUAAAAUAGAUGGUCAAAAGCUAUAUAUGGAAACAAAAGAAUUGGUUUUUCGUGAGGCAGUGGGAGUACUUAGGCCUUGUUUAUUUUCCAAAUUUUUUUUUAAAAACAUCACAUUAAAUUUUUAGACAUCUAAAUAAAACAUUAAACAUAGAUGAAUCAAGAAACUAAUGCACAGUUACGAAAGAAAUCUUGAGAUGAAUCUUUUGAGCCUAACUAGCCCAUGAUUAGUCAUAAGUGCUACAGUAACUAACAUGUGCUAAUGACGGAUUAAUUAGGCUCAAAAAAUUUGUCUUGCGGGUUCUAGGAUAGCCGUAAAAUUCGUUUUUUCAUUCGUGUCCGAAAACCCCUUCCGACAUCCGAUUAAAUAUUUGACGUGACACUUCUCUCAAAAAUUUUCUCAAUCUAAACGCAACCUCAAUUACAGUGUUGUCAGGUCAGUCAGUCCCAUGUCGAUCGAUCGGAUCAGCAUCCGUCUGUCCAUGUCUUCACAUACCAGUACUUGCACUGAGUACACUCACUGUAUCAUCUAACGUACAAUCGGAUGAUGCAACGUUUUGCUCGUUUUCCUGAAUCAAUUAGUUAGUCUAUUAUUAGUUAGUUUGCUAACAGUAAAAGCAAUUAUUUCAGCAACGCAUGCAGCGUCCUUCCAAGAUGGAAAAACAGCUCGGAAGCAGUGUGACACUCACAUCAUGCAGCUGCCCAGAUAAGUCUUGAGUCUGGGCUACUACAGCAAGCAUAUCUCUGGCUGAUCUUCGUUGUAGUAUCAGCUAGCUGUGAGGUUCUUCUAAUCUAGUUCUGCAUUUUUUUCUCUCUGAACUCGAUCAAGCUUUGUUUGUUCUGUUCUAUUCUGUUCUGUUCUGUUCUGUUUGUUUGUUUGUUUGGAAGAUAAGUUUUUCCCCAGAGAUACUGAUCAACUAAGCUGUAAACUCUCUUAAGGAUCCAGGACUGUAUGGCCUUGGUUCUGAAAGGAUCUUGGCUCUGAAAUGUCACCUCCCUGCUCCUUUCAGAAAUGACAGUGGCCAUGUCAAGCUCGCUGAAUAAUAUAAUGAUCGGCUUUAAUGGCGAUGCGCAUUGUUCCUAACCGCUCCACGAAACUUGCUUCCAUGUUUGCAUUUCAGUGACAAGGUAGCACAUGAAAUGUGUUUUCUUUCUUAUCAUCAAUGUGUCCAUGGUAACAUUGACUGAUAAGUUUUGUGUUUUGGGUUUCCCUCUGAUGGUCUCUCACAUGAUCUCUGUACACUGUAAAAACAAAGUCAAUAACUCUCACAACAACUUGUGCAUAUCCUGAAUGGUUACCAUGGACCAUGGCCAUGAAAUGUAAUCAAGAUCAAUGAUUAGCAUGUUGCGGUGGCCCUCAGGCAAGAUCCGGAUUCUUUUUCCAUGUUAGUUCAGAUAGAUCUGACUGUGUGUUGUACAUUCCCUUUUGGCCCUUGCACACCAAGAGCAUUGUCAGGAUGCCCUUGUUUCUGUAUAUACUCAUUUGGAUCUACAAACGCCUUGUAUCUCUCUCAGAUUUCGGGGUGUGCGUCAACUGUAGACUGUCAGAUUAAUUGGACUCUGGACUUAUCUCCAAAAUGCAUAAUGAUUCUUCAGUCUCUGAACACACCGAAGUCUGAAAACCAAACCUAUAUCUGAACUGAACCUGAACUCCAGAAAAAAAUGGAAUGAGAUCUUUUCAGUGUCAAAUCACCCAUAGGUCUUCAUCUGCUUGCUUGCUUGCUUGCUUUAUGGCUCACAUGAUUGCUGCAAUGCAAAUUCUGUAGGGUUUAAACACAAAACUCGAUCAUUCACACAGUGCCACACUUCGAGGAGAAAGCAUGUGAGGCUUAGAUAACUUAUUUGGUGCUGCCAUAGGUUUCAGGCGCAUGUGAGUUCUGGCAUCUUGUUAGCAGAGGAUACUCUGCUUGGCUUGAUUGUUUGGUAGGAAAAGAUUGUACUGCUCAUGAUUCUCUUGCCUAAUUGCUGAAGCAUUCAUGGACUAUCAUCGUACUUACUUGGGUUUUCUUAGUCAUUUAACUGAUUAGGUAGAUUAGUUUACUCUGCAAGUGGUGUCACCAGAUGAUUUAGACCAUGUUGAGUUAGUUCAGACAAGUACAUCUCUAGGAUAAUAAACUUCCAUGAAACUGUCAGUUAAGAUGAUAAUGAUGAUGAUCUUAGUCAUUUAAUAACCAUCCAGCUGCUGUUAGAAACAACUCUUACAGAAAGGCUAUGUUAGUUGUUUAUAAAUAUAUAUAUACAUCCCAAAUAAUGAUCCAACUCUAAAUCUGAACUCUAUAUAUUAUAAUACCGAUUUCUGUGGAUCUUGUCAAUUCAUUGGUCAGGAGACAGAGAGAACUCUUGAUCAGCCAUUGCAUAUGCUGUGAUUGGCUGUCUAACUAAUUAAUCAGAUCUGCAUUUCUAAAAAACAAAUUCUGCAUCUCCCAGCUACAUCACUAAACUGUCAUCACUAAGUACUCGGUCACAAUAUAAAAUGGAGGUCUCUCUCUGUAUCUGCAGUAGUAGCUAGAGCCAAGUCUGUGCCCCUCGCAUCCUAGAUCUUCAUUUUCUUUCAGGCACAACCAUGCAUGUCUGCACAGUUUGGUAGGAUAUCAAUUUUUCAUUGAUGUAUAAUAUUAUUAUCUUAUUAACUAAAUAGUAUUUCACUAUACGUAACAAUGCACAUAUGUAUGAAAGUUAGGCUCGGUUUCAUUUGUGCUGCAUUACUAUUUCAAGCAAUUUUUUAAUUAACUACUACACCUUGGGCUGUCAAAUUCGUUAUGCAGAGUGAGAUUGCAAUUGUUGGGUUCUUUCUUAAGCAUCCAAUUCCAAAUUGAUCUUAGCAUUGGUCAAGGUAGUAUUUUGAAACAAUUUUUUUAAGAUAAAACAAAACAGAAAACAAAUGUGGCACACAAGACACAACCUGUAUUUCAAUUAGAGACUGCCACUGUACAGCAUGCACACUGACUAGUCAACCAUCAGUGCUCAUGCUAGCUAGGGAGGUGAUAUUAUAUGACAAAUACUGUACCAGUUCUUGACAAACAUUGGAUACUUCUCCCACAUUUUCCAUUUGAUACAAUUGAUCGGUCAGCAACCAAUAAACUGAAUGAUUUUGUAUUGCAAGCAAAAAAAAAGGAAAAGAAUCCUCCAUGUUGGCUGUGUUUUUAGAUGAAGGAUGAAAAAUGAUAGAUUAUCUGAUUUUUUGAUAAAUACUUAAUGGUGUAAAUGAUGAAUUUAACUACAAGUUAAAAAUCUGUCUUAGAAAGGUGAUAUGGUAAACUUGUAUAUAAAAACAUUUUAUAAAAAACACACCAUUUAGCAUUUUGAAAACGUCCGUGCAAAAGUUUAGGAAAAAUCAACCGUUGUAGCAUAUGAUUCCACUCACAGUACCUAUUUGGAAUGCAUGAAAUUUUCCUGGUUCUGUGUUUUGAAUAAUCUGACUGACACUCAGCUCGCAGACAUCUUAUGAAAUUCUUACAUUUCAAAUGGGUUUUCUCACCUUUAAGGGCCUCUUUAAUUCAAAAUAUUUUCAAACCGUAGGAAUAGGAAAAAUAUAGUAAUAUCAUAGGAAUGCACAUGAAAAACAAAGAAAGAAAUUUUUUCUUCAAUGAGCUAAAUAAAGAGGAUGAACUGGAUGCUCUUAUUCCUAUGAAUUAGUAUAUUUUGGAGGAUUGGUACAUGAUUCCUAUAGGAAUUUUUCAUUUGAAUCAUGUGAAACAAAUGCAUAAACAAUGUUUAUUUCAAAGGAAUAGAUAUUUCCUAUAUAUGGUUUUACUUCAAAACGAAUAAAAACAAUUCUGAAGAUAACAUGGAAAUUAAAAAGAGUGUUUUUACAGUACUCCAAAUUACAUCUAGAGAGGUAAGAGCCCACGACAAAUCCUAGCCCUUUGAUUAUUCAUGAUCCUUUUUUAUCUAACACAAAUUACAUUUGUCCUUCCGUUGAUGAAUCAUACCUAAAAAGGUAAACUACUAGUCUACUACUACCAGAGAUGGUUUUUUCUCCAAACAAUUUUAUAGUACAUGAGAAUGUAUCAGGAGAUAUCAGGUAUCAAAUUUUAUACUAAAAUUUUGGUAUCUCUCAGUACAUGCCUAAGUAUUGUAAAAUUGCUAUUUUUCUCCUAAUUAAUCACUCAUGAAUGCAGCCUACCACAAAUUUGAAGGAAAAGUCCACCAACAAAGCAACGUUCGGUUUCCGGUUUGAUUUUUCGAAUAUCUAAUAUAAACGGAGAUGGUUCCUUUUUAGUCAAGUAAAUAUAGAUGUGCAAGACUAUUUCUGUAAAGUUAAAUGAUGUACUCCAAAGACUCAGAUUACGUACGGAACAUAGUAGUAUAUAAUUAAAAAAAUCACGAACUAAAUUUUUAGUCUUCAAAUAGAAUCUAUUUUCUAACUAGCUUAUGUGCUUUGGUUAUAAAACGAAGCUUCUUCUUCAAAUUAUAAUUUGAAUAGUGAUUUUUUUAAAACUGAACUUUAUUUUUUCCUAUUAUUUAGUACCGUAUUAUGAAUUUUAAAGCUGAAAUUGUAUCACUCUACCUUCAAUAUCCGCAUGAGUCCUCUGUCAUGUAAAGUAUGUUAGCAACUUCGUCCAUAUUUCCAUUCUCACUUUAUAUAAAAGUGUUAAAUUGUGUACACCAUUGUUAUAGUGAUGAAUUUAUAAGCUGGUCUUCUCCUACAAAACUUUAGGGGGUAAUAAAUUACCCAUUAAAACAAUUCCUGGAUCAUAUGCAUCUCAACCAACACCUUAUUACAGGCCACACAGAAGGGUUGGGGUGUUACAGAAUAAUGAAAUGUCAACACUUCCUUUGGGCUGCAAUACCUUAACAGUACAAUACAAAAUGACAAUACAUGUCAUCUUAAUUACCCAUUGGGUUAGUGGGUAAUGAAUGUCCUACCCCUGCUCCAAAAUAAUAAACUGCUUAGGUCGAUUUCAAACAAAUCAGUACUCAAGUAAAAUAACAUCUAUACCCCUAUUUAUAACCUGUUGGUGAGAGAAAGAUGUGCUAACAUUAGACCCCAACAUUUACAAUAAUUAUGUAUGGCUCUGUUUACACUUUUUUCUUUCCAUUCAAGUCCUAAAAUAGUCAUUUAUUUUGCGGCAAUAUUUUUCUUAUCUUGGGACAUGCAUGGGAGAGUAUAAAAUAAUUUGGUGUACCAUAAAGAAAUCAUGAAACUAAUAAUCUUGUACCAAAAUUUAAUACAGAUAUAAAAAAUGACAAGUCAUGCUUAAAGUUUUUUUUGAUAAUAAAAUAAGUCACAAGCAAAAUAAAUGAUAUUUCUGUAAUUUUUUUAAAUAUGAAAAAUGAUCAAACUGCAAAAAAAAAAGUCAAACAUCUUAUAUUAUGAAAUGGAUGGAGUAAUAUACAACAACCAGAUUUAUUACAGAUUCUACCAUAUUACUGUCUCUGUUUCAUAUUAUAAGACUUUCUAGUCUUGUCUAAAUUCAUUCAUUGCUAAAUGUAUAUAAUUUAUAUAUGUGUCUAAAUUUAUUAGCAUCUAUAUGAAUCUAGGCAAUACUACUAGAAAAUCUUACGUUACGAAACGGAGAAAGUAAUUAUACUAUAACAUAGCAAGCUCCUGCUAUAUAUAUAAGUAACAAUUAACACACCACUGCAAGACGGCAAAGACUGUGGAGUCUCCGUUGUAUAGGCUUGCAUUGCAGCUCUACUAGGCUACCCUCCUCCAAGAAUUGCGCAAGCAAGCUAUCCGCAUUGCCGACGAUGUCUAGCCGGAGCAGGCCGAGGGCGCGGCCGUCGCCGGCGGCGAGGAUCACCGACGAGCAGAUCGGCGACCUCGUCUCCAAGCUGCAGGCUCUCCUCCCCGAGGCUCGCCUCCGCAGCAGCAACGACAGGGUACGUACGUACCUAGCCACCUAGCUAGCUCCUUUCUCUCCAAGCUGCACGUUAAUUGCAAGCUUGCGACGCCGGCCAUGGCCGCGCCGUCUCCGACGACGAUGAGCUUGAAUGAAUGAUUUGGUCGCGCGAGCGCUUUGCAGGUGCCGUCGGCGAGGGUGCUGCAGGAGACGUGCAGCUACAUCCGGAGCCUGCACCGGGAGGUGGACGACCUCAGCGAGCGCCUCGCCGAGCUGCUCGCCGCCGCCGACGUCAGCACCGCGCAGGCCGCCGUCAUCCGCAGCCUGCUCAUGUAGCCGCCGCCGCUCGCCGGCCGGCCGGCCACCGGUUUAGAGAUGAGUACGACGAAGAAGAGGGUUCAUUUCAUCCGUAGCUUAAGGUAGACGAGAGAGUGUGAGGCCGGCCGGCAUGGAUGUGUGCUUAAUUUAGUUUUGAUCAAGAUUAAUUACGUUAAUAAAAAAACUAUGAUUUUUUUGGUUAAUUUCUUCGUUCCUGUGUAACUGAAUAUUUUUGCUGUCUUAAUUUUGACCGAAAUGAACAUGCUACUAAAUUGCAAGGUACAUCUCUUUACCAUUCUUUCAGAUAUAUAUUACCAACAUGUACGGAUUCAGACCCCUGUAGCAAGAAAGUUCAAUUACUGGCAAGAAAAACUAUGGGGCUUGGCAUCCCCUGUAGUUUGAAAUUGCAUCUUGUUUGGAAUUUCACAUUGAUAUUACUACUUUAGCGAAAAUCUGAAAAAAAAAAAGACUCCAUUGGCCCUCCCCAACAAAGAGUUUUUAGUAUUUUUGGCUCAUCCACUUACCCGACCUAAUUGUUUUCGGAUUGGUUGAGACAACGUUGAUAUAUAAGCAGUAGAAAUAUAAACAAAGAAAAAACAUUAUUUAUAGGCAAAUCUUUUUUAUAUAAACAUUGUUAGGCGUUAAAAUACCCACAUAAUAAAUGAAAAAAAAAAUCUAAAAUCAACUCUAAACUUAAGUUUCGAAGUUUAAAUUUUACUUGCGGAUGAUAUAUAAGGAUGAGCACCGUCUGUGGUGAAAAAAUGGGCCUUUUUUCGCUAGAGAUCCUCCGGGUCGAAGAUAACAUUUUCAAUUGGUUCUAGCUAGGUUUUUUUUUUUAAAAAAAAAAGCUAGAUGAAGUGAAGUUCUACUCUACACAGGAUAUCCUUGUAGUCGAACAAAUCUGGAGGAUUUUUGCUUCAGAUAGAUAGUGUUUUUGGAUCUCUCCUUCCGACAGGGUCCCCCACUCUGCAAUAAUAAGCACUGCAGAGUCAAGUGAGCUCCUAGUGAAUUUUUCUGUCAUCUGCCGACCAGGUAGGUGCAUGUAAUUAAGCACACCUAGCUUAUUGCAUAUUGCAUUAUUGUGGCCUCACAUUUUGGGUGUGGAUUUCACUAAUUAAAUUUCUCCUGUUCUCAAAUUGAUCAUUGCAACAUAUGCCAGUAGCCGAACCUGCAUGGCAUCUAGCUAGCAUGUUGUCGUUAUUUAUUCACCAUUGGAAAAAUAGGGAAUGCUCCCGCUCUGUCAAAAAAAAAAAAGUAAAAACAAUUCUUGGCUACGAAGGAUUUUUAUUUGGGACGGAUGGAGUAGUUCUGUAAAUUAAGUUUAUUUUUUUUAAUUAAGUGAGAGUUUACAAUUUCAGCCUCUGCAUGAAUGAUAAACUUAGAAGAGAAGGAAAGGACGAAGUUAUAUUAUGUUCAGUGAAAAGGUUCAAAUGUAACUGUAUAUCCAGUUUUUUUUAAUAAAGAUUCAUAAGUUGCACACUGAUUAUUAUAGGCUGGGUUCGAUUUUAUGAUAUCUAGUUAUAUAUAUGUAAUCUAUUUUUCAGUGUUAAGUAAAUACUGCUUUGAGAAGCUAGCUAGAUCAAUCUCUCCAAGUUAACUAGUAAUUGCAAAAAGAAAAACACACUACAAAUUUCAUUUUAUGUGAUAUUGGUCCACGAGGACAGAUCCAGCUAUCACUUUUUUAGAGAAUGGUAUUUUUACUCGGCCUCUAUAUUCACUCGGAUAUAUGCAGCCAUUUUUUUAUUUUGAGAACUUUAGGAAAGUAGCCUAAUCCAAUUUGAAAUUCAUGCUCCUAUGGAGAUUUGAAUCCAGGACCUUGAAUGCUACUCAGGUCACUACAACCACUAGGCUAUAUGCCCUUUCG
rnacentral:lncRNA from 1 species